GGGGACUUCUUGGGGAGCAGCACGGAGUUAAUGUUGGGGAUCACGCCGCCGUGGGCGAUGGUGACGCCGGCGAGCAGCCUGCCGAGCUCCUGGUCGUUGCGGACGGCGAGCAGCAGGUGGCGCGGGAUGAUGCGGGUCUUCUUGUUGUCCUUGGCCGCGUUGCCGGCGAGCUCCAGGACCUGCGAUCCAAAACGAAAUCUGUCAGUUAUCCGUCGAGCAGGAGAAGAACAGAGCAGAACAGGUGCUCGGGGACAGGAAAGAUCGGCGCAUACCUCAGCGGCGAGGUACUCGAGGACGGCGGCGAGGUAGACGGGGGCGCCGGAGCCGACGCGCUGGGCAUAGCGGCCCUUCUUGAGGUAGCGCCCGAUGCGGCCGACGGGGAACUGGAGCCCGGCCUUGACGGACCUGGUCACCGCCUUCUUCCUGUCGCCUCCCUUCCUUCCGGCCAUCUUCUUGCUCCUUCUCCGGCGAGCUGGAAACUACUCGAGAUGCGUGGGCGGCGGUGCGGGAUCGGGAUGCGCUCUGCUCUGAGUUUGUGGGUUGGGACGCCAGCGAGGGCGCGGCUUUUAUUGGGAAGGUGCAGACUUCGUGGGACGGCGGCAGGGGGGAGCGAUCCGCGUGACGCAGUGUGCCUGCCGUUGGAUCUGUGAGAAGUGGGCGGUGGGGAUUGGUUUGGGGGUGCGAUCCGCGAGAGGGUCCGAUCGGCCAAUCAGAGCGCGGGGAUUUGCAUCAAGAAGGGAUUUUGCUUUAAUUAACACCUGGUUUUCUUUUUGUGCAUCAUUUAGGCAUUUUCUUUCACUCUUAUCUUGCAUCUAAUUGAUUUUUUUCAGAUGUAGUAUUUGCUUAUACAUUUAUGUAUACCAUUGUUUUGCUAUUAUCUAACGUUUCAUUUGGAUGAAUGUACUAAGGCCCCAAUUUGGAUUUGAUAUUCUCCAAAUUCCAAUCCGGCUGUUUGGGAUGCACACGAAAAUAGUCGUCAAAAAUAGAACAAAUACAUGCAUGAAAUUGACAACUUGUCCCUUGUUUUCCCCAUCGACGGUGGCACCCAGGUAACCUCCCUUCGUCGGCCCUCCUUCUCCUUCUACUCCGGAACCUGAAUACCGGAUAACGCGGCUCGUUCCCCUCCUCCCAUGCCCCCCAUCUCCUCCUCACAUGGCCUCUACGGCCUGGUCCUAGCCGUCUUUCGCCGCUUCUCCUCCAAUAUUAGAAGUAUGAAAGGUACGUGAUUUCGAUGAAAGUAAUUAUCCUCACAAUUUGUGUCCACUCAAAUUGGCAACAAUAGAACAUAUCCGACAAAAUAGAAAGAAGAAGAAGAGCUCCAAGAAUAACCUUAAGAACAAAUCUUGGGAGGAGCGUAAGGAUGGGCCUUACUAUCCCAAGAAUCUCCAUCCUCUUUUCACUAAGGUAAAAAAAUUCAAUUUCACUAGCUUAUUAUAACAAAGUCGUGUCGAGGUUUUUGUGAAGGGUACGACCAUUGGUACAAGCGUAAGUGCUCGUACCACACCAUACUGUACCUCUAUUAAUUUUUUACCAAUGCCAAGAGACUCAGUACGGGCAAUGUCUUUGACGACGUGGUACAACCUAUGUUACAAGCACGAGCACUCGUGCCAUAGGUCGUCUUCCCCUCUGACUCCGAACCCCUAAAAAUAUUUCUUUUUCGCAUGUGUGGAACCCAAGUUAGACCACCAGUACGAGCCCGGCCGCUCUGGCUGAAGGCCGUCUUCCGUUCUAGAAAAAAGAUUGCUUUCGCCAGAACCCAAUACAUGCACGAAUACGAGCACCAGCUCUCGACCCGACCACGUCUUUUUCUCUGGUUCCUCUAUAACUUGCAAAUUCUCUAGGAAUUUGCCUUGUUUAUUUCCUAAUCUUCUUUAGUUAUCCUUAUCUCAUGAAACACUAUGGUUAUGCCCUAAGGGGACCAUCGACAGAUUGUUGACCCAAAUUGUCAUUUCCAAUAUCAACCACAUUCUCUUUAGGCGAUUAUGCCCUAAUAAAGAGGCAUUCCUUUGGUACUAAUUGGAAGGAUCGAUGCGAUCGACUAGAGGGGAUGAACAAGAGACUACAAAUUUUAAGCUUAUCUUCUAAUUUUAGGGAAUUGUGGAUAAUGUAGGUCCUCUAUAUGUGCAACUAGGUGAACAUGGCAUAUAUGGCAAACAAGCUCAAAGAAAAAUACAAGAGGCAAUGCUGUAAUUAGCAAGCCAACAAGCAUACAAAAAAGUGAAGGAAUGGGAAUUAUUAACCACAAGUGAGUUGAGAAUGCAUAUUUUAUCCCAAAGUUUGCACACUUCUGGUAGUGUUAAUCUUUGUUGGAGCAGUGCCAAAGCCAAAGCUAUAGAAGACCACAACGUGGCUCACUUUAUUCUACCUUCGAGUCACCCCCAAUGGAUGAACCUCGAAUCACUCGGUGUUGGUCUCGGAGGCUACCACCACACGUUUACAAACUUCUCCAGAGCACGCCAUACGCAAGGAAGCUUAUAGAGGAACCUCUACCACCUAGGAGCCCAAACUCCAAGAGUAAAAAGUAUUGAUGAAGAAAUUGAGUGGGGAACACAAAUCAGUUUGGUAGAAGUGUAGAUUGACUCUUGCUCUCCCAUAUCCAAAAGUAUUGGAGUCUUUGGGUAGAGGGAUUGAGAGUAUUAAGAAAAAUGGAGGUUAGCAAUGGUGGAGCAACUCUCAAGACAUUAGGGUUGGGUUGGAGGAAGAAGUUGCUAUUUGUACUCCUUCAACAAAUCUAGUCGUUGUCCUCCUGGAGCCCCCCGUGCACACGGGGUCACCCGAGGCAUUCCCCAUACCUCAUGGGCACGGGGGGUCAUAGACACCAUGGACAUGUGGGUUACAUAGGAUUCGCACUUGACCCCGUGGACAUAGGAUGACAGGGGUCCCAUGCACACGGGGAUCCAGAGAAUCAACCCUAGACCAUGUGGGCACGUGGUAGGAUGACAAAUAACACAUUUAUGAUGAGUUUGUGGUAUUUCAUGGAUAUAGCGUAGGGAAUGUUGGUGUAUGAGUUUGUUGUGUUCCAUCACUUUCUUUCGAGCACCUUGACCCCUCCUAAUGGUGUGGUUGCCCUAGGACUAAAAUAAAGCGAAACCAAAGCUUCAAGUCAUCAAAAAACCAUAUAUUUAUCCUUUUUGAAGUGUGUGUGUGGGGGAGGGGGUAUACUAUCUCCUUAAUUAUCAAUCAAGGAACCAAUGACGUGAGAUAAGAUUAUAAUAACCAUCAUUAGUUCCACUAACCAUGGUGUCAUCACACAAAAACACUCCCUCCAUCUCAAAUUAGUUGUCUUAGAUUUGUCUAGGUGCACAUGUAUCUAGACACGUUUUAGUGUUAGGUACAUCUGCAUCUAAACAAAUCAAAUUCAACUAAUUUAGGAUGGAGGUAAUAUCACUUAGAGAUAAAUGCACUUUAAACAUUAAUUCCCAAAAUGCACGACCCUAAAGGCAUCGAUGAUUAUAUGUAGGUCUCGUUGGUCAUCAUGCCCAUGAAAUUUGUCAUUGAACUCUUGGCCAACAUAGUACAAAAAAAUUUAUUCGUGUGAUGCAUUAGAACUAACAUGGUCUUAUGAAGGGAAAACAAUCCAAGAUUGCCUAUGCUGGGAUUUUGAAUAUCUACACCUUUGUCAAUUAUCCAGAAACCAAUUUUCAUACUACAGUUGGAUUUUGAAAUGGCAUUUGAUAAAGUUAAGUACAAGUGUAUAUUGUCUAUGUUGAAUGAAAAAGUUUUUGGCCCUAAAUGGCUUGGAUGGGUUGAAAUCCUACCGCCUAGGAGUACCCAACCUCCAAGAGUAACAAGAACGAUGGGGAAAAGCUCAAGACUUGCUCAAAUCAUGAAUUCCUUUGGUCAAGAGAGGGGGAGGGAGUGAAUCUAUCACUUGAUUGGACAAAUUCUCAAGAACUCUCUUGAAUCCCUCCGGAAUCUAGGAUUUGGUGUAUGAGGUUGCGGGAGAGAAUGACAUGUGUUCUAGGGUUAGUUCAAAGUGAAUGGUCAACCUUCUCUCAGAGUGGAAGAAUGCUAUAUAUAGUGGUGGUGUAAAUAUGGUUGUUGAAGUGUAAGUGGUUGUGACGGGGCGAACAUCCAACCAUUUGAAAUAUCCACAAGAUGCGCACAAUAUAGAGGAGAAAUGCAGAGUUCCCAGACAUCUGUCAUGGUGCUGAACAUUUGACGUUUGCAUCGCGUAAACCUGCUUCGGUACUAGAUAGAUCAAGCCGGGUAUCCGAGGAAGCCCUGGAUGUCCGACCACUCAGGAACACCCAGACAACCGGCCUGGUAACGGACAUCCGGCGAGCUCACCAUUAAAACCUGCACACGUGCACACGUGCUGGGCAGGAGGAGUCGAAUAUCCGAGAGAUACCCGGGCAUCCGGCCACAGGACCGGACAUCCGGCCAACAGAGAUAGCAAGCACUUAAGGUGUUGAUGAAGAUAGCCCAGAUAUCCAGCUAGAGCCCGGGCAUCCGGCAUACCGAUGUGUAAUGCGAGCACCUAAGACUUACAAGAAGAGCUCCGUGAGAUGUAAAGCUUGUGAACAAGAAUGUAGAGUAGGAUUGGUUAACAAGUUUAGAAAGAAGGAAUUUGAGACCAAAAUGACUUGAGCAAAUAUUUUACUAACACUAUCGAUCCCCUCUUAAUAGAGCGGGGUCCCUAUACUCAAGAAACAUAAAACGAACUCAUAAGCCUUUUGCUCUUUCUUCUUGAGCCAUAGCUUUUCAUUCGUCUAUGAUCCACACACACAACAUAGUCGGGGACGGACACAUGAGAUUUACUUACUCCCUCCGUCCAGGUGCAUAAGUCAUCUUAGGUUGUGCACCACGACCAAGCGGAAGAAUUACGAGAGAACUUAAUGUUUAUUUGCUAAUUAAUAGCAUUGCAUGCAAUGAACUGACCACUUCAUGUCGUGUUUGGUAGUCUCUGAAGGAAAUAUGCCCUAGCGGCAAUAAUAAAGUUAUUAUUUAUUUCCUUAUUUCAUGAUAAAUGUUUAUUAUUCAUGCUAGAAUUGUAUUAACCGGAAACUUGGUACAUGUGUGAAUACAUAGACAAAAUAUAUAGUCCCUAGUAUGCCUCUACUGCACUAGCUCGUUAAUCAAAGAUGGUUAUGUUUCCUAACCAUAGACAUGUGUUGUCAUUUGAUGAACGGGAUCACAUCAUUAGGAGAAUGAUGUGAUGGACAUGACCCAUCCGUUAGCUUAGCAUUAUGAUCGUUAUAGUUUCAUUGCUACUGCUCUCUUCAUGACUUAUACAUGUUCCUCAGACUAUGAGAUUAUGCAACUCCCGAAUACCGGAGGAACACUUUGUGUGCUACCAAAUGUCACAACGUAAAAGGGUAAUUAUAAAUGUGCUCCACAGGUGUCUCUGAAGGUGUUUGUUGGGUUGGCAUAGAUCAAGAUUAGGAUUUGUCACUGCGUGUUUCGGGGAGGUCUCUGGGCCCUCUCGGUAAUGCUCAUCACUAUAAGCCUUGCAAGCAAUGUGACUAAUGAGUUAGUUGCGGGAUGAAGUAUUACGAAACGAGUAAAGAGACUUUCCCGUAACGAGAUUGAACUAGGUAUGAUGAUACCGACGACCAAAUCUCAGACAAGUAACAUACCGAUGACAAAGGGAACAACGUAUGUUGUUAUGCGAUUUGACCGAUAAAGAUCUUCGUAGAAUAUGUAGGAACCAAUAUGAGCAUCUAGGUUCCGCUAUUGGUUAUUGACCGGAAGUGAGUCUCGGCCAUGUCUACAUAGUUCUCGAACCCGUAGGGUCCACACGCUUAACGUUCGAUGACCAUUGGUAUUAUGAGUUUAUGUGUUUUAAUGUACCGAAGGUAGUUCGGAGUCCCGGAUGUGAUCACGGACAUGACGAGGAGUCUCGAAAUGGUUGAGACAUGAAGAUCAAUAUAUUGGAAGGUUAUGUUUGGACAUCGGAAUAGUUUUGGAUGAGUUUGGGCAUUUACUGGAGUACCGGGAGGUUACCGGACCCCCCCCCGGGGGGGGGGGGGUCAAUGGGCAUUCAUGGGCCUUAGUAGAAAAUAGAGGGCAGCAAGGGAGCUGUGGGGCGUGCCCCCUAGGCCCAAACUGAAUUGGUUUAGGGCUUGGGGGGCGGCCCCCUCUUUCCUUCUCCCCUCCUCCUCUUUCCUUCCCCUCCUAGUUGGACUAGGAAAGGGGGAACCUACUCCUAGUAGGAGUAGGAUUCCCCCCUUGGGGAGCACCCUAUGAGGCCGCCGACCCCCUCCCCUUGCUCCUUUAUAUAUGGGGGCCGGGGGCACCCUAGAACACACAAGUUGACAAUUGUUUUAGCCGUGUGCGAUGCCCCCCCUCCAUAGAUAUCCACCUCAGUCAUAUCGUCGUAGUGCUUAGGCGAAGCCCUGCGCCGGUAACUUCAUCAUCACCGUCACCACGCCGUCGUGCUGACGAAACUCUCCCUCGACCUCAGCUGGAUCUAGAGUUCGUUGAAUGUCACCGAGAUGAACGUGUGCAAAUCGCGGAAGUGUCGUACCUUCGGUGCUAGGAUCGGUCGGAUCGUGAAGACGUACUACUACAUCAACCGCGUUGUCAUAAUGCUUCCGCUUUCGGUCUAUGAGGGUACGUCCCUCUCGUUGCUAUGCAUCACCUAUGGAUAGAUCUUGCGUGAUCGUAGGCUUUUUUUUUGAAAUUACUGCAUUCCCCAACAGUCUCAAGUCAUUGAAAGCAUACAUGCGCCACAUCUCUUAUUGGGUGAUUCCUUUAUGUAUGUCAAAAAACAAGAAACAAGGUGAGAGUUAAUGCAUUGUACCUAACUGUUUUGGUAUUAUUUGGUUUUCGUAAGCUGACUUAUACACCUAGAUGAAGGCAGUAACAAACAUGGUUAGUCCCCUACAUGUAUAUCGCCAUCAACAUCAAAAUAUGAUGCAAGGGCAUGAUUGCACUUUCACUUGACGCCACGCUCCCAUGUCAUCGAGAAGCUUCAGUAGGUGAACUGCCUAGAUAUCGUCAUGAUUAUUUGAAGUUCUAUCAAUUGCCCAACAGUAAUUUCUUUACCCACCGUGUGCUAUUUUUCUUGAGAGAAGCCACUAGUGAAACCUACAGCCCCCGGGUCUCUUCUUAGUCAUAUUUGCCUUCGAGAUCUAUUUUUAUUUGCUUUUGUUUUCAGAUCUAUUAAUCCAAAAAUGCAAAAGUACCUUGCUGUAAUUUUUAUUUAUUUAUUUUAUCUUGCGUUCCCGCGAGAUCUAUUUAUCCAAUCUACUACAAUUUUACCUAUCUUUUUACCCGUGAGGGAUUGACAACCCCUCUCUUACGUCGGGUUGCAAGUAUUUGUUCUUUGUGUGCAGGAGCUAUUUACAUGGUGUUGUGUGGUUCUCCUACUGGUUCGAUAACCUUGAUCUCAUCACUGAGGGAAAUACCUACCGUUGUUGUGCUGCACCAUCCCUUCCUCUUUGGGGAAAUACUGACGUAGUUCAAGCAAACAUCAGUGGCUUGCCAUCAAGUAGAUCCUUGGAUUUAGCUAGGUUACCUGUUUCAUUGCUUGGUUUUCUACCUGUUAAAGAGAAGCUUAGGUCUAUAUAGAUUCCUGAGGUAAUAUCCAUUGUUUCUCAUAUUUUAGUUACAACUGAUUCCUCAGUUCUAACUCCUUCAUGUUAUUUUCAUUAUUUGUCCUCUUUGUACCACUGUUUAUUUCAAUUUCUGAAAUAAGGAUGGCCUUGGUGGCUUCAAAAUAUGCAGGACCGUAUUUACUUGCACUUUGUUUAUAUAUGGUUGAUGCUAGAUUCUUCUAGAAAAUUUGUUGUUACAUUAGUGGUCUAGCUAGAUUGCAAGGAAGGGGUUGUAUCUUUCCUUGCUUUGUUUGAUCCUGGAAGAUGGGCGUCAGUAGGUGAACUAAUUGAUUUUGAUUUCAUAUUAUUGUGCAUGCUUCUAGUGUGGGAUUAUAUUAUAUUAUUAGGUUUAUCAUGCUCCUGAUUUUGCUAUUGACUGUGUUUUUCAGUUAGUGUCCUAUUGUUGAUCUGUGAUCUGUCGUCGAUUGUUGCUGCCGCUCGGUUGAUAAUUUACAACUCAUGUUUUUCUACCCCUACUUGUUUGUGAGGAGACAGGGCUGUGUCCAUCCUUCGGCCGUCUUUGCUUCGAUCCGCACACACUUCACAUUUGAUGAUAAGAGUUGCAGCUCCAUUAUUUCCUUGUUCUAAACUCUCAAAAGCACGUGAUGUCGUGGCAGCAGCAAUGGAGGUCUCCAAGGCCCCUUCCUCUUCUAGUUUGGCAACCCACCAGCCCUCCAAGGUUAGUGCUCCUAAUGAUCGAGAAUUCCUUUAUCGAUUAAUCGUGUGCGUCUCCAAGAAGCAUAGAGGUUAUUAUAUGUAAUGGUUUCCAUUCUUAUGCCUAGAGAUUCUUGAGACAUAGCACAGUGCCAAUGCGGUGUGCUUCGACGUGGAUUGCACGGUAUGCUUGGAUGAGGGUAUUAAUGAGCUUGCUGAUUUCUGUGGGGCUGGGCAGGCGGUUGUCGAGUGAAAGACAAAGUAAUGGUCACAUUUUCUGGAGUAUAUUAGUUGUUUAGCCUAUAAUAUCUUCCGAAAACUAAUCUUGGCCUUAUUAUUCUCAGGGCAAUGACAAGACCGUUCUAUUUGAAGAGGCUCUUCCUGCCUGGAUCUCUUUAAUUAAGUUAUCUCUGUCCCAAGUUGAGGAUUGUUUGGAGAAGAGGCCACCGAGGUGACCUUUUACAAGUCCCAGCUUCAAGUUAAUCACUAUUUAGCUGCCACUUUUGCAUUCCUAUAUUGAACCAUCUGAGAUUCCCCAGCUCUAUUAUUCUUGUAUUGGAAUGGUUAUAUAUGUGCUACUGAACAUAGAAUAAUGAUCUUAGGAAUGCUUAACUGGUUUUACUCGGCUUCUCUUUUUAAGCUAAUACGAAAAAUAAUAGCUACAAUAUAUGCAAAAUUUGUUUGGUACCACAGUAAAAAUGCGAUUUCAGAAUAGUACCACCACAUGGUAUAAGUUCAUUUCAAUAACACUGAAUGAUACAUGUCUAAGUUCAUUUUAAUAACACUAAAUGAGACAUGUCUAAGUUCAUUUUAAUAACACUAAAUGAGACAUUAAAAUCUGCCCAUACCACUUCAGUCUUAACCUUUAGGUUGUUACAUUCCCUACAACCACAACAUAACCCUUUUGACUUAUUUGCCUCAUGGGUUAAUUAGAUAUUUCCUAAGAUUUCUGGCUACAUAAUAAUUCUAAGGCAGUAUUUGUUUCAUUUAUUCAUCACUGCAACAUAUGUAAAUUUUGUGUUGGUUAUGCAUUAUUUAUCUUCCUAGUUCAUUGACAUGUUUAUAUGUUUGUAUCUGCAGGAUUUCUCGUGGAAAUGUUGAUUUUAUUAAUACAUUAAAAGCCAAUAAUACUAAAGUAUUCCUUGUGUCCGGAGGUUUCCGGCAAAUGAUCAAGGUAUAUCUUCACUAAACAGUUGCACUAAUGAUACUUUUGGAAUAUGGAUUAUCCGAACAUAGUCAAGAUGCUUUUAAGAUAUCCAUAGUUUGAGUACAGAAAUUGGUUCUAAAUUUUCCUUCUAUAUUAUUUGUUGAACAAUAAACGAGGAUAUGUUUCUUCCCAUGAUCUAAAAGCAACCAUUCCUCUUUUCUUCACUUGAGAACAUUUUAAAUUUAUUUUUGUGAUUAAAGUUUCACAUACAUGCUUAAAGAGUCAUUGUUGGACUAUUUUUCUUGUUUCCAGUCUUUGGUGUUUGGUCUUGGGAUUCCUACUGAAAACAUCAUAGAAAACCAAUUGCUAUUUGGAUCAUCUGGCUUUUAAUACACAGAGCCCACUUCUCGAAGGUGCUAACCAGGCCAACAAAAAGGGCUCACCUGCUAAUAAGGUUUGAAAAUCCUCAUAGUGGUCAACUGAGGUGUAUUCAGGCCUAGAACUUACAGAGCUGUGAUAAAAAGUGUGGUCAACAUAGGUGUAUUUAACCAAACUAAUGUGACCUUCUUUUAGAUUUCACUCGAGAUUAAAUUUUCACAGAGAUUUAAUUGAGAUUUAUUAAACUGCUUUUAUAUUAUAUGUUGGUUUGUUCCUUUAUACUCCAAAAGAAAAAAAUGUCUAACAAAACUCUGGCAAUGAUUUGAAGUAUCAGUUUGCCUGCCUUUUAUUGCACUCAUUGGAUAAUUGUCUACUUUCAAAUUGUUAUGACCUUUGAUCCAUAUAACUAAGUGAGUGUUCUAUCUUUUCAAUUUCUCUCUAUCUGUGUCUGUGUUUUGAUCCAUUUUCAGGAUAGAAAUGUUCCUCGGCACCAUGAAAAACAUCAACAGAGGAACAACCUUUUAUUUUAUUUUAUGUUGCCUCUACUAUAUUGUUGUUGCCACAAGGAUUUACCUGGACACUGAGCCACCAUGAUGUGUUUAAAAAUGAUUACAUUAUCCUUUUCUAACCUGAUGGUGUUAGAAACAUCUUGGCAUUCAAGCAAGAUUAGUUCAUUGUUUAUUAAUUACAAUUAUGUAAAAAAAUCACUAGCCAUUGCUUGACAGAAAAUAUUUUGAUAUGCCAGCAUGUGCACGGGCUAUUCACUAGUACCGGUAAAUGUUAUUUACAUGUUUUGGAUCAUGGAUGAUUGUUUUGAAUGAAAAAAAUAUCAGAUAAAAGAAAGCAUGUGAUAAUGCUGAUAGAUUGAAUUUUUGGUGUCCAUACGUCGUAACCGUACUUUAUUAGAUAUGGUGCGAUCUAUGAUGUCUCUUACUGAUUUACCGCUAUCGUUUUGGGGUUAUGCUUUAGAGACGGCUGCAUUCACUUUAAAUAGGACACCAUCAAAAUCCUUUGAGACGACGCCUUAUGAAAUGUGGUUUGGCAAGAAACCGAAGUUGUUGUUUCUUAAAGUUUGGGGCUGCGAUGCUUAUGUGAAAAAGCUUCAACCUGAUAAGCUCGAACCCAAAUCGGAGAAGUGCAUCUUCAUAGGAUACCCAAAGGAGACUGUUGGGUACACCUUCUAUCACAGAUUCGAAGGCGAAAUAUUUGUUGCUAAUAAUGGAUCCUUUCUAGAGAAGGAGUUUAUCUCGAAAGAAGUGAGUGGGAGGAAAGUAGAACUUGAUGAGGUAAUUGUACCUUCUCCUGAAUUGGAAAGUAGUUGAUCACAGAAAUCAGUUCCAGUGAUUCCUACACCAAUUAGUGAGGAAGCUAAUGAUGAUGAUCAUGGAACUUCGGAUCAAGUUACUACCGAACCUCGUAGAUCUUCCAGAGUGAGAUCCGCACCAGAGUGGUACGGUAAUCCUGUUCUGGAAGUCAUAUUACUAAACCAUGGUGAACCUAUGAACUAUGAGGAAGCGAUGAUGAGCCCAGAUUCCGUGAAAUGGCUUGAGGCCAUGAAAUCUGAGAUGGGAUCCAUGUAUGAGAACAAAGUGUGGACUUUGGUGGACUUGCCCGAUGAUCGACAAGCCAUAGAAAAUAAAUGGAUCUUCAAGAAGAAGACUGACGCUGACGGUAAUGUUACUAUUUACAAAGCUCGACUUGUUGCAAAAGGUUUACGACAAGUUCAAGGAGUUGACUAUGAUGAGACUUUCUCACCCGUAGUGAUGCUUAAGUCUGUCAGAAUUAUGUUAGCGAUUGUCGCAUUUUAUGAUUAUGAAAUUUGGCAAAUGGAUGUCAAAACUGCAUUCCUGAAUGGAUUUCUGGAAGAAGAGUUGUAUAUGAUGCAACCAGAAGGUUUUGUCGAUCCAAAGGGUGCUAACAAAGUGUGCAAGCUCCAGUGAUCCAUUUAUGGACUGGUGCAAGCCUCUCAGAGUUGGAGUAAACGCUUUGAUAGUGUGAUCAAAGCAUAUGGUUUUAUACAGACUUUUGGAGAAGCUUGUAUUUACAAGAAAGUGAGUGGGAGCUUUGUAGCAUUUCUAAUAUUAUAUGUGGAUGACAUAUUGUUGAUUGGAAAUGAUAUAUAAUUUCUGGAUAGCAUAAAGGGAUACCUGAAUAAGAGUUUUUUGAUGAAAGACCUCGGAGAAGCUGCUUACAUAUUGGGUAUCAAAAUGGAGAUAGAUCAAGACGCUUAAUUGGACUUUCACAAAGCACAUACCUUGAUAAAGUUUUGAAGAAGUUCAAAAUGGAUCAGUCAAAGAAAGGGUUCUUUCCUGUGUUGCAAGGUGUGAAGUUGAGUCAGACUCAAUGCCCGACCACUGCAAAAGAUAGAGAAAAAAAUGAAAGUCACCCCCUAUGCUUCAGCCAUACAUUCUAUCAUGUACGCAAUGUUGUGUACCAGACCUGAUGUGUGCCUUGCUAUAAGCAUAGCAGGGAGGUACAAAGUAAUCCCGGAGUGGAGCACUGGACAACGGUCAAGAACAUCCCGAAAUACCUGAAAAGGACUAAGGAUAUGAUUCUCGUUUAUGGAGGUGACAAAGAGCUCGUCAUAAACGGUUACGGCAAUGCAAGCUUUGACACUGAUCCGGAUGACUCAAAGUCGCAAACCGAAUACGUAUUAUCAUUGAAUGGAGGAGUUGUCAGUUGGUGCAGUUCCAAGCAGAGCGUCUUGGUAGGAUCUACGUGUGAAGUGGAGUACAUUGCUACUUCGGAAGCAGCUAAUGAAGGAGUUUGGAUGAAGGAGUUCAUAUCUGAUCUAGGUGUCAUACCUAGUGCAUCGGGUCCAAUGAAAAUCUUUUGUGACAAUACUGGUGCAAUUGCCUUGGCAAAGGAAUCCAGAUUUCACAAGAGAACCAAGCACAUCAAGAGACGCUUCAAUUCCAUCCAUCAUCAAGUGUCGGAACGGACAUAGGGAUUUGCAAGAUACAUACGGAUCUGAAUGUUGCAGACCCGUUGACUAAGCCUCUUCCACGAGCAAAACAUGAUCAGCACCAAAGCUCCAUGGGUGUUAGAAUCAUUACUAUUUAAUCUAGAUUAUUGACUCUAGUGCAAGUGGGAGACUGAAGGAAAUAUGCCCUAGAGGCAAUAAUAAAGUUAUUAUUUAUUUCCUUAUUUCAUGAUAAAUGUUUUUUAUUCAUGCUAGAAUUGUAUUAGCCGGAAACUAAGUACAUUACAUGUGUGAAUACAUAGACAAAACAUAGUGUCCCUAGUAUGCCUCUACUUGACUAGGUCGUUAAUCAAAGAUGGUUUUGUUUCCUAACCAUAGACAUGUGUUGUCAUUUGAUGAACGGGAGCACAUCAUUAGGAGAAUGAUGCGAUGGACAUGACCCAUCCGUUAGCUUAGCAUUAUGAUCGUUACAAUUUCAUUGCUACUGCUUUCUUCAUGACUUAUACAUGUUCCUCGGACUAUGAGAUUAUGCAACUCCCAAAUACCGGAGGAACACUUUGUGUGCUACCAAAUGUCACAACAUAAAAGGGUGAUUAUAAAGGUGCUCUACAGGUGUAUCCAAAGGUGUUUGUUGGGUUGGCAUAGUUCGGGAUUAGGAUUUGUCACUUCGUGUUUCGGAGAGGUAUCUCUGGGCCCUCUCGGUAAUACUCAUCACUAUAAGCCUUGCAAGCAUUGUGACUAAUGAGUUAGUUGUGGGAUGAAGUAUUACGAAACAAGUAAAGAGACUUGCCGGUAACGAGAUUGAACUAGGUAUGAUGAUACCGACGACCGAAUCUCGGGCAAGUAACAUACCGAUGACAAAGGGAACAACGUAUGUUGUUAUGCAAUUUGAUCGAUAAAGAUCUUUGUAGAAUAUGUAGGAGCCAAUAUGAGCAUCCGGGUUCCGCUAUUUGUUAUUGACUGGAGAUGUGUCUCGAUCAUGUCUACAUAGUUUUGGAACCUGUAGGGUCCGCACGCUUAACGUUCGAUGACAAUAUGUAUUAUGAGUUAUGUGUUUUUAUGACCGAAGUUUGUUAGGAGUCCCAGAUGAGUGUCUCGAAAUGUUUGAUACAUAAAGAUUGAUAUAUUGGACAUCUAUAUUCGGACACCAUAAGUGUUCCGGAAAAGUUUCGGAUAAAAUCGGAGCGCCGGAGGGUUACCGGUACCCCCGGGGGAACUAAUGCGCCACAUGGGCCUUAGUGGAGAGAGGGGGGGGGCGCCCCCCCUUUCCUUCUCCCUCUCCAUCUCCUUCCUUCCCCCUCUCCCCCUCUUGGUGGAAUCCUACUAGGAUUAGUAGUCCUAGUAGGAAUCCCCUUGUGGGGCGCGCCCUAGGAGGGCCGGUCGGCCUCCCUCUUGCUCCUUUAUAUACGGGGGCAGGUGGUCACCCUAGAACACACAAGUUUCUCUCCCAACCGUGUGCAGUGCCCCCCUCCACAGUUACACACCUCGAUCAUACCAUCGUAGUGCUUAGGCGAAGCCCUGCGCAGGUAGCAUCAUCAUCACCGUUGCCAUGCCGUCGUGCUGACGUAACUCACCCUCGUCCUCAACUGGAUCAAGAGCACGAGGGACGUCAUCGAGCCGAACAUGUGCUGAACAUGGAGGUGCCGUACGUUCGGUACUUGAUCGGUUGGAUCACGAAGACGUUCGACUACCUCAACCACGUUAUUGAAACGCUCCCGCUUUCGAUCUACGAGGGUAUGUGGACACACUCUCCCCUCUCGUUGCUAUGCGUCACUGAUGUCUACUACACAACCUUCUUCUUGUAGAUGUUGUUGGGCCUCCAAGUGCAGAGGUUUGUAGGACAGUAGCAAAUUUCCCUCAAGUGGAUGACCUAAGGUUUAUCAAUCCGUGGGAGGCGUAGGAUGAAGAUGGUCUCUCUCAAACAACCCUGCAACCAAAUAACAAAGAGUCUCUUGUGUCCCCAACACACCCAAUACAAUGGUAAAUUGUAUAGGUGUACUAGUUCGGCGAAGAGAUGGUGAUACAAGUGCAAUAUGGAUAGUAGAUACAGGUUUUUGUAAUCUGAAAAAUAAAAACAGCAAGGUAACUAAUGAUAAAAGUGAGCGUAAACGGUAUUGUAAUGGUAGGAAACAAGGCCCAAGGUUCAUACUUUCACUAGUGCAAGUUCUCUUGACAAUAAUAACAUAAUUGGAUCAUAUAACUAUCCCUCAACAUGCAACAAAGAGUCACUCCAAAGCCACUAAUAGAGGAGAACAAACGAAGAGAUUAUGGUAGGGUACGAAACCACCUCAAAGUUAUCCUUUCUGCUCGAUCUAUUCAAGAGUCUGUAGUAAAAUAACACGAAGCUAUUCUUUCCGUUCAAUCUAUCAUAAAGUUCGUACUAGAAUAACACCUUAAGACACAAAUCAACCAAAACCCUAAUGUCACCUAGAUACUCCAUUGUCACCUCAAGUAUCCGUGGGCAUGAUUAUACGAUAUGCAUCACACAAUCUCAGAUUCAUCUAUUCAACCAACACAAAGUACUUCAAAGAGUGCCCCAAAGUUUCUACCGAAGAGUCAAGACGAUAACAUGUGCCAACCUCUAUGCAUAGGUUCAUGGGCGGAACCCGCAAGUUGAUCACCAAAAGAUACAUCAAGUGGAUCACGUGAUAUCCCAUUGUCACCACAGAUAAGCACGGCAAGACAUACAUCAAGUGUUCUCAAAUCCUUAAAGACUCAAUCCGACAAGACAACUUCAAAGUGAAAACUCAAUCCAUUACAAGAGAGUAGAGGGGGAGAAACAUCAUAAGAUCCAACUAUAAUAGCAAAGCUCGCGAUACAUCAAGAUCGUGCCAUAGAGAGAACACGAGAGAGAGAGAGAGAUCAACCCCGAGGGUGAACUACUCCCUCCUCGUCAUGGAGAGCGCCAGGAUGAUGAAGAUGGCCACCAGUGAGGGAUCCCCCCUCCGGCAGGGUGCCGGAACGGGCUCCCGAGAGGUUUUUGGUGGCUACAGAGGCUUGCGGCGGCGGAACUCCCGAUCUAUUGUUCGCUUCGAUAUUUUUAGGGUAUAUGGGAAUAUAUAGGCGAAAGAAGUCGGUCGGGGGAGCAUCGAGGGGCCCAUGAGACAGGGGGCGCGCCCAGUAGGGGGGGGAGGGUGCCCCCACCCUCGUGGCCACCUCGAAGCUUCCUUGACUUCAACUCCAAGUCUCCUGGAUCACGUUUGUUCCAAAAAUCACGCUCCCGAAGGUUUCAUUCCGUUUGGACUCCGUUUGAUAUUCCUUUUGUUCGAAACACUGAAAUAGGCAAGAAAACAUCAAUAUGGGUUGGGCCUCCGGUUAAUAGGUUAGUCCCAAAAAUAAUAUAAAAGUGUAUAAUAAAUCCCAUAAACAUUCAAAACAAAUAAUAAAAUAGCACGAAUGCUUCAUAAAUUAUAGAUACGUUGGAGACGUAUCAGCAUCCCCAAGCUUAAUUCCUGCUCGUCCUCGGGUAGGUAAAUGAUAAAAGAAAGAAUUUAUGAAGUGUGAAUGCUAGCAGGUGCACAAGUUUGAUCAACGAUAAUUUCAAUCACCUUUUCUAGCAUGAUUAUAUGUCAUAACAGUAGUUCAUCUCAUAAAACUUCUCACGAUCAAGUAACAAGCUAUUCACAUGUUAAAGCAUAGGCCAUAAACUUUCUUGAAAACUAGCAAAUUUCAUUCUUAGUCAUCAAACAAUUACAAUUCAUCUUAUUUUCGGGAAGGGUCCAUGUCAGAGCUUUGAUUUAGCAAACUCCACAUACUCAACUAUCAUAUAGUCUUCUACAAUUGCUAACACUCACGCAAUACUUAUGGUUAUGGAGUUUUAAUCGGACACUGAGAAAGAUAGGGGCUUAUAGUGUUUCCUCCCAACGUAUUCACCUUUGGGUGAUGUCAACAAUAAUAGUUCAUGCUAACUUACAUCCAAUUGGAUAUAUAUAUAUAUAUAUAUCCUGAUAUAUAUAUAUAUAUAUAUAUAUAUAUAUAUAUAUAUAUAUAUAUAUAUAUAUAUAUAUAUAUAUAUAUAUAUAUAUAUAUAUCAGGAUCUUUCCAACACGAGGUGCUUGCCAAAGGAUAAAAUGAAAAAAGGAAAGCUGAAGAUCAGCUUGACUCUUGCAUAAAAGUAAAAGAUAGGCUCUUCGCAGAGGGAAGCAGGGAUUUUGUAGAGGUGCCAGAGCUCGAUUUUGAAAUAGAGAUAAAUAGUUUUGAGAGGUAUGAUCUCAUUAUCAACAUAACAACCAAGAGUUCCUAAUAUCUUCCAUACUACAUACAUUAUAGGUGAUUCCCAAACAGAAUGGUAAAGUUUUUACUCCCCCUCCACCAAUGAUCACACUCCACGGCCAUCCGAAACAACGGGGUACCGUCCAUACCAACAACAGUCCUGGGGGAGUUUUGUUUUAAUUAUUUUUAAUUUGAUUUUGAUCUUUUGAUCAUGGGACUGGGCAUCCUGGUUACCAGCCAUUUUUCUCGUGAAUGAUGAGCGGAGUCCACUCAUCUUGAGAAUAACCCACCUAGCAUGGAAGAUACUGAUAGCCCCUAGUCGCUACAUGAGCGAUUCGAGCAUACAAAACAGAUUAUUACUUGAAGGUUUAGAGUUUGGCACAUGCAAAUUUACUUGGAACGGCAGGUAAAUACCGCAUAUAGGUAGGUAUGGUGGACACUCAUGGCAAAAACUGGGUUUAAGGAUAUUUGGAAGCACAAGUAGUAUCUCUACUUGGUGCAAGGAAUUUUGGCUAGCAUGAGGGGGAAAGGCAAGCUCAACAUGUUUGAAUGAUCCAUGACAAUAUACUUUAACUGAGAUGUGAGAAAACAUAACCCAUUACGUUGUCUUCCUUGUCCAACAUCAACUCUUUAGCAUGUCAUACUUUAAUGAGCGCUCACAAUUAUAAAAGAUGUCCAAGAUAGUAUAUUUAUAUGUGAAAUCUCUCUUCCUUCAAUAUUAUUUCAUGAACUAUUCAAGUGACCAAUACAAUGCUUGCUAACCUUCAAUAAAUUUACAACCUCUACUUCUUAGAUGUGAAGUCAUUACUCCCCAUGGGAUAAGCAAAUGAAAAAUAUAUAAUUUUAGAUUUAUGACAUUCAACUCAUUCAACCAUUUACUCAUAGGAUAUAAGUGAAGCACAUGAGUAAAUGACAAACUACUCCAAAAAGAUAUAAGUGAAGAUCAAUGAGUAGCUAAAUAAUUGUGUAACUAUGUGAAGACUCGCUCUCAGCCCGGCCCCCACGUUGCUCCUUCCCCAGGGCGACACGGGCGGCCGCCAACUCCCCCCGGCCAAAGCUCCCCUCCCUCCUCCUCCCUCCUCCUCCCUCUCACCGUCGCCGCAGCCUUCGGCGGGCAAAGCCCGCACGGAGCCGCCGCCGGCGGGAUCUUCUCCUGCCCGGUGGCUUGGCUUGCUCGCGAGGUGGAGAACUCGUGGCGGAUGAUGGUGGUCGGUGGUGCCUGGCCUGGCGCGGCCCGCGUCGUCGCAUCUGGUGGUGCGGCUGGCGGCGGGGAUUGCGGCGGCGGUGGCUGGCUGGCGUGGGUGGCGGCUGCGAGUUGGAUUGGAGUGCUGGAUCGGGAGGCGCUCGAUCUGGCGGCCUCGUUGGGGUAGAGCUCCGGUGUCCGUGUCGGGGCUGCUAUGUGUUGCUGCCAGCGGGGUGAUGCGGCCGUCUUUGUCGCCGGGGCUGCAGGGCAAUGGCCGUUCCUUUCUCUCCCGUCAGAUCCAACAGGGCUUCGAGCCCCACGGCGGCGGCUGCUCGUCCGGCUGUGCGAGGGCUGGGCGGCGCGGUGAGUAGGCAUGGCUACGGCGGCGGCCUCGUGACGUCCAGCGGUGGGUCGAGGCUACGCGGUUGUGGGGGCUCCAUCUCGCUCGUGCGGCUCCGGCUUCCGGCGAUUCAGACCUGUUGUGGCUCGGCUGUAGCCUCUUGGCGGCGGCUUUGGCUGUCCUCCGGCCCACCGAGGCAAGGCUUGGGGCGAGGUCGCAGGCUGGUCAGGCCCUCCCUUGCCUCCAGCUCUGCGAUGUGGGCUCCAUGCCGUCGGGCCUGGCCGGACUCCUUCCGGCGGUGAAGACAAUGACAUGGUGGCUCUUGGGCUCCGAGGCGGCGACCCUGGGUGUGGUGAUGGCGGCUUCGGCCAGGGGGUGGUGCGUGUCUGGUCGUGGUGGAUCAUGGGAUCCCGUGGCCAGAGUGAGGCCGACCUCGGCAGGGGUGGUGGAUAGUGGGCGGCGAUCGGUGGUGGCAGGUGGUUGGACAUCUCCGGGAGAAAUCCUUGCUCCGGUCUUCACCGAAGCUGGCGACGGUGGUGCCUGUGGGUGCCGCGAUCUUUCUUGGAAGCGUCGUUUUGGAGGUGCUCCUCCUCUUCCCAACAGCUUGGGCUCCGGAGGGAAACCUCAGAUCCGCUGGAUCGGGCGAUGGAGGCGUCUUCGCGUCUUUUUCCUCUUUGGGGGCAUCGUCUCGGAGCCGAGCACGACUGAGAGAUUGGAGGAUGAUGGCAUCUUCGCCGUCGAUGGCGGCAUCUUCGCCGCGUGGUUUGCUGAGGCGGGGCGCUGGUUUCUGUUUGGCAAUAAUGAUGGCGUUGAGAGGAGCUUGGGUCGCGGCGUGGUCUUCGGUAGUCGGUUCUUCCCGACGCAAGUCCUGCAUAUUUCUCUUGUGUUGCUCGUCGUCAAAGUUGGAGCUGUCGGUUGCUUGCGCGUGGGGCCAUCUGUUGGCAUGUGCCGUCAUGGUUUCUAUUCCAUGUCGGUGGCCAGGUUGGUCGGUGGUGCCCAUGUCUUUGUGGGUUGUGUUGUAUCGGUUUUAGCCCAGUUUUCCGUCAAUUAACCGGGCAAUUCUCUUCUUCUUAAUCAAUGAAAAUGGCAAGUCUUUUGCCUCAUUUAAAAAAACUCUCUCUCAUUUAAGAAUUUCAGAUCUUGGUAUUUUAUUCAAACAGCAAGCAAAGCAAAAUAAAAUGACAUUGCAAGGAUAGCACAACUCAUGUGAAGAAGCAAAAACUUAGGCUCAACCGAUACUAACCGAUAGUUGUUGAAGAAGAAAGGUGGGAUGCCUAACGGGGCAUCCCCAAGCUUAGAUGCUUGAGACUUCUUGAAAUAUUAUCUUGGGAUGCCUUGGGCAUCCCCAAGCUUGAACUUUUGUGUCUCCUUAAUUCCUCUCAUAUCAUGGUUUCUCUUUUUAUCAAAAGCUUCAUCCACACCAAACUCAACAAGAACUCGUGAGAUAGGUUAGUAUAAACCAAUGCAAAACCUUAUCAUUUUCUACUGUAACAAAUCACUAAAAUUAUUAUUCAACAUUUCAUACCAAAUUCCUCUGCAUAUUUAAUACUCCUAUCCUCAAAUAGAAUCAUUAAACAAGCAAACAUAUGCAAACAAUGCAACCAUAACAGCAAUCUGCCAAAACAGUAUAGUCUGUAAAGAAUGCAAGAGUGUCAAUACUUCCCUAACUCAAAAAAUUAUAAUAAAAAUACCACACUGUAUAAGAUUUAUCAGAGCUCAAUAUGCAAAAAGUUUCAACAUUAUACCAUUCUCUGACUUUUCUAGGGAAUUUUUGCAACAACGGUAAACUUUCUGUUUUGAAACAGCAACAUGUAUACUAGCAAAAUAAGCAUGGUAAAGGCUAUCCUUGACAUUUCUAUUGAAACUAAAGAUGCAAAACAGUAAUCUAAAUAACAGCAAGCAAAUACUAACAAAAUAAAAUGACGCUCCAAGCAAAACACAUAUCAUGUGGUGAAUAAAAAUAUAGCUCCAAGUAAAGUUACCGAUGAACGAAGACGAAAGAAGGGAUACCUUCUGGGGCAUCCCCAAGCUUAGGCUCUUGGUUGUCCUUGAAUAUUACCUUGGGGUGCCUUGGGCAUCCCCAAGCUUAGGCUCUUGCCACUCCUUAUUCCAUAGUCCAUCGAAUCUUUACCCAAAACUUGAAAACUUCACAACACAAAACUCAACAGAAAACUCGUAAGCUUCGUUAGUAUAAAAAAAUAAAUUACCACUUAGGUACUGUUGUGAAGUCAUUCUAAAUUCAUAUUGGUCUAAUAUCUACUGUAUUACAACUUCUCUACAGUUCGUACCCUCCGAUACUACUCAUAGAUUCAUCAAAAUAAGCAAACAAUACAUAGAAAACAGAAUCUGUCAAAAACAGAACAGCCUGUAGUAAUCUGUAUGAAACGUAUACUUCUGGAACUCCAAAAAUCCUACCAAAUUAGGAAGACCUAAGAAAUUUGUGUACUAAUCCAGAGCAAAACGAAUCAGAUCAAAAUCACGUUUCUGUGAAUUAUCAAAACUAAUUUAUUGGGUGCAAAAGUUUCUUAUUUUCAGCAGGAUCAACACAACUAUCACCGUAAGCUAUCCUAAAGGUCUUACUUGGCACUUUAUUGAAACAAAAGCUAUAAAACAUGAUUACUACAGUAGCAUAAUCAUGUGGACACACAAAAACAGUAAGGAUAGGUUUUGGGUUGUCUCCCAACAAGCGCUUUUCUUUAAUGCCUUUUAGCUAGGCAUGAUGAUGACAAUGAUGCUCACCUAAAAGAUAAGAAUUGAAACAUAACAGGAGCAUCAUGAAGCAUAUGACUAGCACAUUUAAGUCUAACCUUAUUCCUAUGCAUAGGGAUUUUGUGAGCAAACAACUUAUGAGAACAAUAAUCAACUAGCAUAGGAAGGUAAAACAAGCAUAACUUCAAGAUUUUAAGCACAUAGAGAGGAAACUUGAUAUUAUUGCAAUUCCUACAAGCAUAUGUUCCUCCCUCAUAAUAAUUUUCAGUAGCAUCAUGAAUUAAUUCAACAAUAUAACCAGCACCUAAAGCAUUCUUUUCAUGAUCUACAAGCAUAGAAAAUUUACUACUCUCGACAUAAGCAAAAUCCUUGUCAUUCGGAAAAGUGGGAGUAUCAUAAGAGACUUGAAUACUAUAAAUUGUUUCCACAUUAAAAGAGUAAUGUUCAGAAAAAGGGGAAUCAUAAUCAUGACAAGUUUUAUAAAUAUAAUCAUCACUACUUUUUAUAGCAUAAGUUUCAUCACAAUAAUCAUCAUAAGUAGCAACUUCGUUCUCAUCAUAAUCGAUUGAAACCUCUUCCAAGAUAGUGGAAUCAUCACUAAAUAAAGUUGACACUCUUCCAAAUCCACUUUCAUAUUCAUCACAAUAAGAUUUAACAUCCUCCAAAAUAAUGGGAUCACUACUUCCUGAAGUUGACACUCUUCCAAACCCACUUUCAUCAAUAUAAUCAUCAUAGGUAAGAGGCAUGCUAUCAUCAUGACAACUUUGCAUAUCAAAACUUGGGAUGCUAAAAAUAUCAUCUUCAUCAAACAUAGCAUCCCCAAGCUUAUGGCUUUGCAUAUCAUUAGCAUCAUGGGUAUUCAAAGAAUUCAUACUAACAACAUUGCAAUCAUGCUCAUCAUACAAAGAUCUAGUACCAAACAUUUUAAUGCAUUCUUCUUCUAGCAAUUGAGCACAAUUUUCCUUUCCAUCAUUCUCACGAAAGAUAUCAAAAAGAUGAAGCGUAUGAGACAAACUCAAUUCCAUUUUUUUGUAGUUUUCUUUUAUAAACUAAACUAGCGAUAAAACAAGAAACUAAAAGAUUCGAUUGCAAGAUCUAAAGAUAUACCUUCAAGCACUCACCUCCCCGGCAACGGCGCCAGAAAAGAGCUUGAUGUCUACUACACAACCUUCUUCUUGUAGACGUUGUUGGGCCUCCAAGUGCAGAGGUUUGUAGGACAGUAGCAAAUUUCCCUCAAGUGGAUGACCUAAGGUUUAUCAAUCCGUGGGAGGCGUAGGAUGAAGAUGGUCUCUCUCAAACAACCCUGCAACCAAAUAACAAAGAGUCUCUUGUAUCCCCAACACACCCAAUACAAUGGUAAAUUGUAUAGGUGCACUAGUUCGGCGAAGAGAUGGUGAUAAAGUGCAAUAUGGAUAGUAGAUAUAGGUUUUUGUAAUCUGAAAAUAUAAAAACAGCAAGGUAACUAAUGAUAAAAGUGAGCGUAAACAGUAUUGCAAUGGUAGAAACAAGUCCCAAGGUUCAUACUUUCACUAGUGCAAGUUCUCUCGACAAUAAUAACAUAAUUGGAUCAUAUAACUAUCCCUCAACAUGCAACAAAGAGUCACUCCAAAGCCACUAAUAGCGGAGAACAAACAAAGAGAUUAUGGUAGGGUACGAAACCACCUCAAAGUUAUCCUUUCUGCUCGAUCUAUUCAAGAGUCCGUAGUAAAAUAACACGAAGCUAUUCUUUCCGUUCAAUCUAUCAUAGAGUUCGUACUAGAAUAACACCUUAAGACACAAAUCAACCAAAACCCUAAUGUCACCUAGAUACUCCAUUGUCACCUCAAGUAUCCGUGGGCAUGAUUAUACGAUAUGCAUCACACAAUCUCAGAUUCAUCUAUUCAACCAACACAAAGUACUUCAAAGAGUGCCCCAAAGUUUCUACCGGAGAGUCAAGACGAAAACGUGUGCCAACCCCUAUGCAUAGGUUCAUGGGCGGAACCCGCAAGUUGAUCACCAAAACAUACAUCAAGUGGAUCACGUGAUAUCCCAUUGUCACCACAGAUAAGCACGACAAGACAUACAUCAAGUGUUCUCAAAUCCUUAAAGACUCAAUCCGACAAGACAACUUCAAAGGGAAAACCUAAUCCAUUACAAGAGAGUAGAGGGGGAGAAACAUCAUAAGAUGCAACUAUAAUAGCAAAGCUCGCGAUACAUCAAGAUCGUGCCAUAGAGAGAACACGAGAAAGAGAGAGAUCAAACACAUAGCUACUGGUACAUACCGUCAGCCCCGAGGGUGAACUACUCCCUCUUCGUCAUGGAGAGCGCCGGGAUGAUGAAGAUGGCCACCGGUGAGGGAUCCCCCCUCCGGAAGGGUGCCGAAACGGGCUCUCGAGAGGUUUUUGGUCGCUACAGAGGCUUGCGGUAGCGGAACUCCCGAUCUAUUGUUCGCUUCAAUGUUUUUAGGGUAUAUGGGAAUAUAUAGGCGAAAGAAGUCCGUCGGGGGAGCCUCGAGGGGCCCACGAGACAGGGGGCGCGCCCAGUAGGGAGGGGCAACCUCGUGGCCACCUUGAAGCUUCCUUGACUUCAACUCCAAGUCUCCUGGAUCACGUUCGUUCCAAAAAUCACGCUCCUGAAGGUUUCAUUCCGUUUGGACUCCGUUUGAUAUUUCCUUUUGUUCGAAACACUGAAAUAGGCAAGAAAACAACAAUAUGGGCUGGGCCUCCGGUUAAUAGGUUAGUCCCAAAAAUAAUAUAAAAGUGUAAAUAAAUCCCAUAAACAUUCAAAACAUAUAAUAAAAUAGCAUGAAUGCUUCAUAAAUUAUAGAUACGUUGGAGACAUAUCAAUCACCUAGAUAGAUCUUGCGUGAUCGUAGGAAUUUUUUUGAAAUUACCGCGUUCCCCAACAUGUACACUGUCUUGUAGUUUCAUGACGAUGUUGAACUCAAUGGUGUUUUGCUCCUAUUACAUGUGAAUUUUUCUUCUUCCUUUUAUUUUAUUGUAUCAUGUUUGAAUACCUGUGCUAAACUUGAUUUCCUACUAAAUUGAGCAUGCACUACCUAGCCAUUGCGUUGUGACCAGCACCCUUGCGCCAAGGCGCGUUUCUGAUCUAGUACAUAACAGAGCAGCUCCAGGCCUUUUUAUGCAUUAAAGCCACGACGAGCUCGGUGUACUUUCGCUAUGAUGUUGCCUUCAUUGCAUCUGAAUUCCAACUGCCAUCUUGUUUCCCGAUUGAUGAACUCCACUCUCCAAACCAACUCGCAUCGUUUUCUUUUAAGAACAUCUCCAAUGGACCCCGAAGACAGGGACGGGCACUGAACGGUUUUUACUAGGCAUGAUCCCCACAAUGGUGCAACCUCAACCCCUCUUAAUAGCGUGGCUUUCCUAAGAUUUAAGUAAACCAGAAAAUACUUUGAGUCCUUCGACAAACUGGCACAUUUUGGGGGGAGAAAAAUUCACUCCAGGCCCUCAUACUCGUCGCGUUGGCCACAUUAGUCCCUGUAGUUACAAAUACCCGAAAAUACGUCACUGAACUUGUCUAAUGUGGUCAUCUAUGGUCGAAUAUAUGUUUUCUUCUACGUACGUGAUGAUUUGGCGGUUGAUUGGCAUGUCCACGGGGGCUUUGACUGCCAGCUCAUCUCCACGCGUUAUGGGCUGACCGAUUUGGUGGAAUGCGGGGUUUUCUUUUUGCAAAAUCGCCAGAGAAUAAACAGCAGCCCACCUGGUCGAACCUAUCCAUCCACCUGGUCAGACCAGACUGAGUUGCUCCCCUCCCCUGCUCUGCUCCGCUCCGCUCCCUUGUUUGUCGCCGAUGCCGAGGUGCAACCUCGAGCUUGCCGGCGUGGCCAACUGUGGUGAUGGCCGCCAUGAGCUCGCCGUCGGCCGCCGAGCCGCUGCCGUCUGCUCCGUUUGUCAAGGGCCCGCGUGACGUCCCUCUUGCCCCCUCCCGUCGUGAGGACCAUGCCUCGCCGCCACUGUAUGGUAUGUCACCGUCGUCACCACCUUCUCUUGCCGAUCUGUCCAGUUUAGCUCUGGGAAAGAGUGUGCGUCCGACUCAAUUGUGCUUAUGGGGUAGGGUUUAGGGUUCUUGGCCCUCCUUUUUGUCACGAAUGGGGUGCGCAUGUAGGGUUUUAGCCGUGGAUUGUGAAGUUAGUGGCAGAUCAAAAUUAGGGUUUCAUGAGGCCUUUCGAUAGGUUCUUCGUAUAUGAACUAUGGUUGUACAGAGGUAAAUAUGGUUUUGAUUGCUCGAUUUGUUAGGCUAAGGGUCUGCCCUGUUAUUUUGGCCGAAAAUGUUAGCUUCAAUUAGGUUACAUCCGUCAACCAUAUGUUGUUUUGUUAAUGAGAUGACCAUUUGUUUGCCAAAUCCCCUAAAAGAACACACUUUUGGACGUGAAAGAUCACACAUUUGAUUACUGGAUAUGCCAUGAAUUCCAUGCUUUUAUUCUGGAAAUGUCUGAACUUUCAAUGUCCGAACCUAUCUAAAUUAUCUAUUUCUGAGCCUGUCAGAACAUUGCCAUUUUGGUUAGAUUGGUGCAGUUACACUUAGCUAUUUGUAGCAAAGAUGCUAUUAAAUAGCAUGGUUCUGAGCCUAUCUGAACAUUUACAUUUUCGUCAUGUCUUCAAUUGGCUGAACUUAGUGCUGUCUCUGUCUGUUAUUGUUGUCUGAACAUUUUUGUCUGAACAUUGACAGUUUGGUUAGACUUGUCUUGUUACAUUGUGUCAAUUUCCUAGCUCAAAUGCUCUCAAAUAGCAUGGUUGUGUCAUUGUGCAGUUACAUUGUCUCUUCCCCUCUGUUAUUACCGUUUGUCUGAACAUUUUGUCAUUUCCAUUGUUUUGCAGGACCCCUAAGAAACCCCUUCUCUCUUGAGGUCAUACAUGGUGGCUAUUUCCUAUGUGUAGGCAAGCAUAGGGAUUACCACAAGGGCCACUCUAGUUGGUAUGACAACUAUGACAUAGAUAAUUGGACACCUACAGUUGUUGCCAGUCUGGUGGAAGAAAUUGGGUAUGAGUUUGAGGGCUGAAAUUGCCACUCUAAUUGGGUUAAUCUAGCAGAAGAUGAUGCCCAAGUACCACAACAGGAGGUCAAUCUAACACCAGAUGAUGAUGCUCAAGAUGGCCAACUCACACAGGAGGAGGUCCAUGUUGCUCAAGAUGUUGCUCAAGAAGAUGAUGAAUAUGAUACACCAGUUAUAUUUCAUGCAAAUGCUGAUCUUUUGUUCACUUCUUAUAUUUGAAUGCUUCACAAGAUGUACAAUGUUUAUCAGUUAUGUACACUUCUUUUCUUUGAGCAGGUGCAAGACUUUGGAUGUACAAUGCUUCACAGGAUGCAGCAAGCUAGACCAGUGCCUAGAGAAUACACUGAAACUAUUGUGCCAGAUUCAGCAUUUAUCUCAUUGACAGCUAGUUCUGAAGCUACAUCACAAACAACAACAGCUACAACUGAUGGGAGCCUGACCAUGAAGUUGCUGAAGAUGAAGAAGGACAAAGAAAGGCAGAUGCCAGCCAGAAGAAAUGCAGCACUGGAGGCCAUGAAUGAGUUGGCAGAGAGGAGAGCAGAGGAGGCAGAAGCAAAAAGGCAAGAAAUUGCUCUCAAGAAAGCAGAGGAUAAUGCACCCCAAGCAAGAAACGAAAAAUCUCGUACCAAGCAUUAAGCAUAAGUAACACCGAAUAAUGCACCACAAGUAGGAUAUAAAUUUCAUUGCAUAACUAUUGACUUCCAUGCUUGCAUAGGGAAUCACAAACCUUAACAUCAAUAUUCUUACUAAAGCACAAUUACUCAUCAACAUGACUUACAUAUCAUAUCGUCAUAUCUCAAAACCAUUACUAAGAAUCAAGUUUAUUUUUUCCAAUGAUCUUCAUGAAAGUUUUUAUUAUAUCCUCCUUGGAUAUCUAUCACUUUGGGACUAUUUUCAUAUGUUGUUUUUAAUAAGCUCAAACAAAUAUAAGUGAGCAUAAUUUUUUUCUUUCUCUCAAAAUAAUCUAAGUGAAGCAAGAGAGAAUUUCCUAAAAAAAUUACUAACUCCCAAAUAAAUCUAAGUGAAGCAUGAGAGAAUUUCUUCAAAAAUAACAAAGCACACCGUGCUCAAAAAGGUAUAAGUGAAGCACUAGAGCAAAUCCAUGGCUCUAAAAAUUUAAGUGAAGCAUAGGAGCAAGCAUAGCAUAAUUUUUGGCUCUCUCAAAAAGGUCUGUUCAGCAAGGAUUCAAGACUUAAAACACAAACAAAAACAAGCAAAUACUCAUAUCAUACAAGACGCUCCAAAAAAACUCAUAAUACGUGACUAAUAAAAAUAUAGCUUCAAGUAAAAUACCGAUGGUUGUUAGAAGAAAGUGGGGAUGCCACUCGGGGGCAUCCCAAGCUUAGUUGCUUGCUAGUUCUUGAAUAUUAUCUUGGGGUGCCUCGGGCAUCCCCAAGAUUAGCCUUUUGCUAAUCCUUAUUCCUUCAUCCAUCGCAAGAUCACCCAGAACUUGAAAACUUCAAUCACACAAAACUCAACAAAACCUUCGUGAGACCCGUUAGUAUAAGAAAGCAAACUACUACUAUAAGUACUGUUGCAAACCUAUUCAUAUUUUGUUUUUGCAUUAUAUCUACUGUAUUACAACUUUUCUAUAGCAAAAACUCAUCAAAGAAAACCAUAGAAUCAUCAAAGCAAGCACACAAUGCAAAGAAAACAUAAUCUGUCAAAAACAGAACAGUCUGUAGCAAUCUGAAUAUUUCGAAUAUUUCUGCAACUCAAAAAAUUCUGAAAAAAAUUAUAUUGACGUGAGAAAUUUGUCUAUUAAUCUUCUGCGAAAAGAAUCAACUCAAAAUCACUCUUCCGUUAAAAAUAACAAAUAAUCUCGUGAGCAGAAAAGUUUCUGUUUUUCAGCAAGAUCAAAUCAACUCUCACCCAAGUCAUCCAUAGGCCUUGCUUGGCACAAACACUAAUUUAAACCACAAAAACACAUCUAAUCAGAGGCUAGAUGAACUAUUUAUUGAAAAACAGCAAGGAAAAAUAUUGGGUUGUCUCCCAACAAGCACUUUUCUUUAAAGCCUUUUAGCUAGGCAUUGAUAAUUUUGAUGAUGCUCACAUGAAAGACAAGAAUUGAAGCACAAAGAGAGCAUCAUAUAGCAUGUGCCAAACACAUCUAAGUCUAACAUACUUCCUAUGCAUAUGCAUUUUAUAAGCAAACAAAUUAUCAAGGCAAGCAAAAACUAGCAUAUGCAAGGAAGAAGAAAGAAACAUUAGCAAUCUCAACAUGAAGAGAGGUAAUUUAGUAACAUGAAAAUCUCUACAACCAUAUUUUCCUAUAUCAUAAUAAUUACAUGUAGGAUCAUAAGCCAAUUCAACAAUAUAGCUAUCACAUAACAUAUUCUCGACAUGAUCCACAUCCAUGCGAAGUUGAGACUCUUCCAAAAUAGUGUGAUUAACAUUAACUAAAGUCAUGACCUCUCCAAACCCACUUUUAUCAAAAAAUUCAUAAGAUUGAAUAUUCUCCAAAGUAGUGGGAUCUAAAGUUGACACUCUUCCAAACCCACUUUUUUUGAUAGAAAGACUGUAAGGGAACCCCCCUACAGUAUAAUUGGUGCAACAAACCCAAAUUGCAAUUACCAUGCCUUGAACCUGGGUGGGUGGGAAGGCAUCAGCCCCUUCCCACCACUAGGCUAUGCCUUAUCAAUCUCAUAUUCAUCACGAGGCUUAAAUAAAUUUUCAUGAUCAUAAGAAGAAUAACCCCAAUCAUGAUCAUUGCAAUAAGUAGAGGACAUAUCAAAAUUAGCAUCCCCAAGCUUGGGGUUUUGCAUAUUACUAGCAUAAUUGACAUUAAUAGAAUUUAUUACAACACCAUUGCAAUCAUGCUUUUCAUUCAAGGAGCUAUCAUGAAUCACUUCAUAAAUUUCUUCUUUUAUCACUUCAUCACAAUUUUCAGAUUCAUGAAUCUCAAUCAAAACUUCAUAAAGAUAAUCUAGUGCACUCAACUCACUAGCAAUUGGUUCAACAUAAUUGGAUCUUUUAAAAAGAUUAGCAAGUGGAUGAGGAUCCAUAAAGUUUUCCUUCUGAUUUCCAAUAAAACACACAAUUAUGCCAAACAACCUAGCAAAGUAACCAAGUAAUACAUAAGGGCAAAAAAAAGGCAAAAAGGGAAGAAGGCAAAUAAAAUGGUAAAUUUUUGUGAAGUGGGGGAGAGGAAAACGAGAGGCAAAUGGAUGCAUGAAGCUUCCCCCCCCCCCGGCAACGGCGCCAGAAAUUGGGAGGAGAUGAGAUUUGUGAUUAGGAACCUGCUUGAUGUUGAAGAUCCUCCCCGGCAACGGCGCCAGAAAUUCCAUUUGAUAUCUGCUAGAACUAUGUCGGUAUUUCCCCAAAGAGGAAGGGAUGAUGCAGUAUAGCAACGUUAGGUAUUUCCCUCAGUGAUGAGACCAAGGUUAUCGAACCAGUAGGAGAACCUCCUCACACCACAUAAACAACACCUGCACACAAAUAGCAAAUACUCGCAACCCGACGUGUUAAAGGGGUUGUCAAUCCCUUUCGGGUACGGCGCCUCAAGAUAGGCAAGUAACAUGAGGUAAAAGUGGUAGAUAGGAUAAAUAGAUCGCGGAACAAAUAAAUUGCAGCAAGGUAUUUUUGUAUUUUUUGUUUAAUAGAUCUGAAAAUAAGUGCAAAGGAAAAUAGAUCGCAAAGGCAAAUAUGAUGAAAAGAGACCCAGGGGUUGUUGGUUUCACUAGUGGCUUCUCUCGAGAAAAAUAGCAAACGGUGGGAAAACAAUUACUGUUGGGCAAUUGAUAGAACUUCAAAUAAUCAUGACGAUAUCCAGGCAAUGAUCAUUAUAUAGGCAUCACGUCCAAGAUUAGUAGACCGACCCCUGCCUGCAUCUACUACUAUUACUCCACACAUCGACCACUAUCCAGCAUGCAUCUAGUGUAUUAAGUUCAUGGAAAAACGAAGUAAUGCAAUAAGAACGAUGACAUGAUGUAGAAAAAAUCUAUUUAUGUAGAAAUAGACCUCAUCUUGUUAUCCUUAAUAGCAACGAUACAUGUGUGUCGUUUCCCUUUCUGUCACUAGGAUCAAGCACCAUAGGAUCGAACCCAUCACAAAGCACCUCUUCCCAUUGCAAGAUAAAUAGAUCAAGUUGGCCAAACAAAACCCAAAUAUCAGAGAAGAAGUACGAGGCUAUAAGCAAUCAUGCUUAUAAGAGAUCAAAGAAGACUCAAAUAACUUUCAUGGAUAAAAACAUAGAUCUGAUCAUAAACUCAAAGUUCAUCGGAUCCCAACAAACACACCACAAAAAGGCUUACAUCAAAUGGAUCUCCAAGAGACCAUUGUAUUGAUAAUCAAGAGAGAGAGGAAGCCAUCUAGCUACUAACUACGGAACCGUAGGUCUACAAAGAACUACUCACGCAUCAUCGGAGAGGCACCAAUGGAAGUGGUGAACCCCUCCGUGAUGGUGUCUAGAUUGGAUCUGGUGGUUCUGGACUCUGCGGCGGCUGGAAUUGAUUUUCGUCGACUCCCCUAGGGUUUCUGGAAUAUUGGGGUAUUUAUAGAGCAAAGAGGUGGUUCAGGGGUGAUGACCCACAAGUAUAGAGGAUCUAUCAUAGUCCUUUCGAUAAGUAAGAGUGUCGAACCCAACGAGGAGCAGAAGGAAAUGAUAAGCGGUUUUCAGCAAGGUAUUCUCUGCAAGUACUGAAAUAAGUGGUAACAGAUAGUUUUGUGAUAAGAUAACUUGUAACGAGCAACAAGUAACAAGAGUAAAUAAAGUGCAGCAAGGUGGCCCAAUCCUUUUUGUAGCAAAGGACAAGCCUGGACAAACUCUUAUAAUAGGAAAAGCGCUCCCGAGGACACAUGGGAAUAUCGUCAAGCUAGUUUUCAUCACGCUCAUAUGAUUCGCGUUCGGUACUUUGAUAAUUUGAUAUGUGGGUGGACCGGUGCUUGGGUGCUGUUCUUACUUGAACAAGCAUCCCACUUAUGAUUAACCUCUAUUGCAAGCAUCGGCAACUACAACAAAAGUAUUAAGGUAAACCUAACCAUAGCAUGAAACAUAUGGAUCCAAAUCAGCCCCUUACGAAGCAACGCAUAAACUAGGUGUCGGUGUCAAAACCGGCGGAUCUCGGGUAGGGGGUCCCGAACUGUGCGUCUAGGCGGAUGGUAACAGGAGACAAGGGACACGAUGUUUUUACCCAGGUUCGGGCCCUCUCGAUGGAGGUAAAACCCUACUCCUGCUUGAUUAAUAUUGAUGAUAUGGGUAGUACAAGAGUAGAUCUACCACCAAAUCAGAGAGGCUAAACCCUAGAAGCUAGCCUAUGGUAUGAUUGUUGUUCCUCUGAUCUAUCGACUAGCCUAGCCCUGGUUUAUAUAAUGCACUAGAGGCCUAGGAUAACAAGAGUCCUAGCUGAAUACGCCGGUGGGGGAGGAGUCCUUGUCUUUAUCACCAAGUCUUGUGGAAUCUUCCUUGUGUGCGGCAACUGUCCGGACUGGCCCAUGAGUAUACGGCCAUGGGGAUCCUCGGCCCAAUCCAACUGAUCGGGAGACGACAUGGUGAGUACCCCCUAGUCCAGGACACCGUCAGUAUCCCCCUGAACCGGUCUUCAAGUUGGGGACGCUCCUCGAUUCUUCCUAACUGUUCUUCAUCUUUGGUCGUCGGUCUUGAAAAAUGGUUCAACAAAUCUUCUCAUCUUUGAUCUUGAGGAUCGCCGAAGUGCAUCCGAAGAGUUUACACGUUGGGUAUCCGAGGGGCCCCUUUAAGUUCCCGGCCUUUAUCAAUGCCUUGUUAUUUUUAUGCCAUGCCUCGGGUUUGAAGUUGUUCCCGGGAGGCAGUGUCCUCUUGCGUCCGAGAUCCAACGCAGGACUGCAUUCGAGGUAUCCUUUGCAGCCGAGCACCAAUGCCGGACUGCUUCCGAGCUCCAAUGCCGAAAUGUAUCCGAGCUCCAACGCCGGACUGUGUCCAAGCUCCAGCGCCGGACUAUAUCCAAGAUGUCAUAGAUCAUCUUGGUACAAAAAAGUUGAAGGAGUGUAGCCGAGCUUAAUGCCGGAAAUGCCCUCUAUGGAGCUAGCCGCUGGCGCCCGAGCUAUAUGCCGGACUGCCUCCGAGGUGGUGCACCACCCCGACCGCGGGUUGAUUUUUUGUGAAUAUUUUUAACUGGUGCAAUUUAUCCUCUGCCGAGAUAUACAACCAGUAUCCCUCAAGGUGUGUAUCAGUCUAAAACCCGAGACACACCUGAAGGAUAGCAUAAAACCGCUGUUCCCAGUAGCCCCUGAGACUCAGGUCGAUGCGCGACAUCGGCCUGAGGAUCAACUCCUAGCUCGGCAGCAUACAUAGGAAUAAAAAUGCAGUGUAAUAUAUUAGAGAUAAUAGUGAUCGGCGAACGGGCCCCUGAGAGAGGGUCGUGAGAAGUCGCCGUGAUAUAUAGCUUGAUGCCAAAUAGGUCCAGAUGGUACUUAUUGCUGUCCGAAGACGCGCUUUCCCAUAGUUCGAUCAAGCCGAAUGCUGAGCCCUUUGAAUUUUCUGCAUUGAAUAGGCAAUGCAGUAGCCCCCGAGACACUGGUCGGGUGGCAACACCAGAUUAGGGGAUCGAUGUGCCCUUUUAAUAUUUGUAAAUAGUGAGCGCAAAGCCCAGUAGCCCCCGAGCCUUAAUGUGGGCACGGGUGGCCGAAUUAAGGAUCGAUAUCCAGAGCAAAAUCACAGAUUAUGUGUAAUGAUUCUAUGUAUCCAAGUACUUUACAUCAUUAUUUUGACUCCAUUGCGACCGUUUAUCAGUUGAAAGUGGCCCAUCAUUGGCUUCUACCCCUUGGUAGAUACUAUGCAGGGUGUGUCCAAAAUAACAAAACAACCCUUAGCCGAUGUCUCGGUGCCCGAACGCGGUUGCGUUAGCGGAAACGAGGCAAUCAGAUAUGCGGGCUUUAUAACUUUCGCUUAGUCAUAGGAGCUUUAAACUGGGGAAGCUAACUAUGAGUCCCCGGUUAGUGUUCGGCGACAUCCAAGGUCAAGCCGUAAACACUUCGGCCAAUGUUAUGAAUGGCCCGUCAUUUAACAUAGUCAUCGGAUCGCUGACCAGUUUACGCCUAUUGUGACAGUCAGUUUUCGGCUUUCUCCACUGAGGUGCUUGACCAUGCGAGCUGGAAGCACAAUCGCAGUGGUUCUCCCUUUGCACACCUAGUCGAACAAAGCGGAACGUAGGAGGCAAGCACAGGGGCCGAGCAACCCAACUAUUAACCGAAGACACAAUUUGAAACCGAUGCAUAUAUAGCAAUAUCCGAUAAUGUUUUUACCGAAUCCCUAAAGGUGUCCGGCGUUGCACUGCGAGACUAAUGCUGGAAACGCACAAAUAGUUUAAAAGUGCCAUAGGCUCGAAAAGCCAAAAAACUUAUUCAAAAGUUUAAUGUCCGAACUAGAUCAAGUGUUCGGUGCCAAUCCGAAAAUUGGAUUUUUUUUAAAAAGGUGUUUCUGUCGUGCUUUAACAUGACACAUCCUAUCUCGAGACUUCAAGCGGGUCAGCCUAUGGCUUCAACCUCCUAUCCCAAAGGAGAAGUACUUCUCGUUAGGCCAGUUUAGCAAACUUUAGCGGCUUUGAGAGAGAAAUUAGGCGCCCCGGCUAUUGACCGCACACCCGCGUCGAAAAAAGGAGUGAUAGAAAAAAGACUUUGCAACGACUAAGAAGAAGAACACUUAUUAUAAAACAGCUCACAUAAAUUUAAGAGCUCCCGAGUGACUUGGGUAAAAGAAUGAUUGUAUGUACCGAAGUACUUAUAUCAUAUCUAUGUUCACCCGAAGUUUAAACGCGUCUUAACUGACCGUUGGCUUCUCCCUCUUUGGUCAAGGACCGAAAAGUGUUAUGUACUCCACCUGUCGAGAAUAUCGACGGUGUUUCCGAUAACCAGGCAAUCAGGUCAUAAGGCUAUACCAGACAAAGCGCGCUUAGGGAACUUAUGCUAUAUUACUGAUAAAGUGUAAGAAGCAUCUUCGAAGAAAAUAGUACCCCCACCGAUACCGUGCUCAUUGUUAAUAUGAGACUUGUGCAAUAGAUUUUUUGUACUCAUGAGUUCCGUUGUGUGCCGACCAUAAUUGAAAACAGUAAGAGCGCUAGCUUUCGGCUUCACCCAGUCUAAGGUCCGGCUCGGGUGACCCGAUCGUGACAAUCACAGAGGUGCUCCCUUUACUCCCUAGCCGAACAAUCGGAAACGUAGGGGUAAACAUAGGAGCAAGGCAACCCAGCUUGCAAAUCUCUUAAGUCAAUAUGGUGCAUAUCGUGGCGUAAUACACGAACAAGGAACGAAGCCGUACAAGUAUAAUCAUAUGCAAGAGGAAAGGCUUCAUGAAAGAAGCCCCCAAGUGAACUGGGUAUUUGAAAUUGUCCAUCACAAACAAAGUUUGGACAAGGAAAUCUUUUACAAGCAACUUUUUUCCAAAAAAGCAUAAUGCUUGAUCGAACCGAACACCAGUUAAAAAUUUAAAACUUUGAGCAUGAAGGCAACUUAGCUGGUUAAUGUGUUCGGUAUUGAUGACGCGGUCCGGGCUUGAUGUGGGACAAGGUUCCAUCCCCCAAGCCGGUCCCGAGGUGGCGGAGCAAAGAGCUCAGCACUCCGAAGUGGUGACAUAGCAUGGUCAAUGCAGGCCGGUAGAGUGAUGCCGAAGUCCCCGGCAUGGGGUAAUGAAGUGUUGAUGAAGCCCCCCGUCCAGCCGAGGUGACGCCAAAGGAUAUAGUCCGGCUGGAUCAUUUUCCUAUGCACAAAAAAAUAGUGCAAGCUAGGGGUAAUAGUAAUAAUAAUAAAAAAUGUUGCAUAAUAAAUAAUUUAUGCAAAGUGAGUAAUAUGGCCUGGCGCCGAAGUCAAUGUCGAUGCGGGGCGUCGGCGUGAUGCAGUAAAGGCGUGGCAAAGCCUGAAUUCAUAGGUCGGUCCGAGUUCUGGAUGCGGCGUUCGCCAGACUAUGUAUGGAAACUGACCGAACCACCAUGCGAACAUCGAUAAUGCGGUCACCAUUUGGUAGACCUAUGUACAUAUGAUGGACAAACCAGAGUAAUAAUUCCUUGGGAAAAAUGAACCCAAACAAGCAAAAAAUACUAGGAUUAAUAGCACAUGGUUUAUUUGUUGUAGCAAUCCGAAGGAAGGUGAUUCCCAAAAUUGGGACUCGAUCCGCACACCCAUUGCCUGAUGGGCGAUAAAGCGACGGCGUGGCGAUGCUGGCAAAGGUUGGCUUGCCGAGGCAAAGCCCUCGGUCCAACUAACGUGAUGGAGCUGGUAGGCUAGUGACGCUGAAGUCUCCGGAGUAGGUUGAUGAAGAGAUGUCGAAGCCCCUGGUCCAGCCAAGAUGUCGAGGCCUCGAUGCCAGCCGAUGAGUCGAAGUAGGUCGGCGUGAUGGACACCGGCUUGAAGAAGCAACAAUGCGGCCCUGCCGAUGCAGGUCGUGACGUGGUCAAUGCCGGCUUGAUGAAGUGUCCAUGCGGCGACGUCGGUGUUCCCGCCCCGUGUAAUCCGUGGGGUGGUGAUGUUGGUGAUGAUUUAUCCUUCACGAUGCCGAACUCUUGUUCGGCUUGCCGAGAUGAUGAUCCGAAGGGGUUGAGCUCGGCUCAACAAAGUGACGACGUGUUUAGCGCAGGUCGGCGGCCGUGGAGCAAUAUUGCCGGACUGGUUUGACACCAGCAUGAUGUUGAAGACCAUGUAUAUGUCAUACGACGAGGUGGCCUUCCAGUGCCCUAUAGGCGCUGGUUCUUAGUCGUCUCCUACAUUGGCGUCCAUACCAUCGAUGUCUUCGGACUCGAAGUUGAGCAUGUCGGUUAAAUCAUCGACAGUGGCUAUGAAGUGGGUGGUGGGUGGGCUUUGAAUUUCUUCGUCGUCCGCAUCCCAACCUUGCUGACCAUAGUCCGGCCAGGGCUCUCCUGAUAAAGAGAGAGACUUUAGUGAAUUUAGAAUGUCACCGAAGGGCGAGUGCUGAAAGAUGUCCACGGCGGUGAACUCCAUGAUCGGCGCCCAAUCGGAUUCGAUUGGCAGGGGCGCGGAGGGUUCGGAGUCCGGAGAGGAGUCCGGCACCUUGGAGUCACGGGCUUCGCAGAGGACAAGGCUGGUGUUCGGCUCGAUCGCCGUAGAGAUUGGAGCCCUCGAGGCGGUGUCCAGCCACCUGUCCUCAAUCGGCGUAGUCGGCUCCGAGCUAAGGGUCGGAGCGGACAUGGGUGCGGCCUCCAGGGCACUGUUCGGCGGCAGAGAUAGAUCAUGCCCAUCAUAAUAGUGCAGCGCGCUCGGCUGCGGCCCGAACUCGUCGAAGAUCAAGUCUCCGCGGACGUCAGCUGUGUAGUUCAAACUUCCAAAUCUGACCUGAUGGCCAGGGGCGUAGCUUUCGAUCUGCUCCAGAUGGCCAAGCGAAUUGGCCCGCAGUGCAAAGCCGCCGAAUACAAAGAUCUGUCCGGGGAGAAAAGUCUCUCCCUGGACCGCAUCGUUGUUGAUGAUCGGAGGAGCCAUCGGGCCUAAAGGUGACGACACAGAGGAACUCUCAAUGAAAGCACCAAUGUCGGUGUCAAAACCGGCGGAUCUCGCGUAGGGGGUCCCGAACUGUGCGUCUAGGCGGAUGGUAACAGGAGACAAGGGACAUGAUGUUUUUACCCAGGUUCGGGCCCUCUCGAUGGAGGUAAAACCCUACUCCUGCUUGAUUAAUAUUGAUGAUAUGGGUAGUAAAAGAGUAGAUCUACCACGAGAUAAGAGAGGCUAAACCCUAGAAGCUAGCCUAUGGUAUGAUUGUUGUUCCUCUGAUCUAUCGACUAGCCUGGCCCUGGUUUAUAUAAUGCACCAGAGGCCUAGGAUAACAAAGAGUACUAGCUGAAUACGCCGGUGGGGGAGGAGUCCUUGUCUUGAUCGCCAAGUCUUGUGGAAUCUUCCUUGUAUGCGGCAACUGUCCGGACUGGCCCAUGAGUAUACGGCCAUGGGGAUCCUCGGCCCAAUCCAACUGAUCGGGAGACGACAUGGUGAGUACCCCCUAGUCUAGGACACCGUCACUAGGGUUUAAGCUUCUGUCACUCUAGCAACCCAUCAUCUACUUAUUACUUCCCAAUGCCUUCCACUAGGCCCAAAUAAUGGUGAAGUGUUAUGUAGUCAACGUUCACAUAACACCACUAGAGGCUAGACAACAUACAUCUCAUCAAAAUAUCGAAGGAAUACCAAAUUCACAUGACUACUAAUAGCAAGACUUCUCCCUUGUCCUCAGGAACAAACGUAACUACUCACAAAGCAUAUUCAUGUUCAUAAUCAGAGGGGUAAUAAUAUGCAUUAAGGAUCUGAACAUAUGAUCUUCCACCAAGUAAACCAACUAACAUCAACUACAAGGAGUAAUCAACACUACUAGCAACCUACUAGCACCAAUCCCGGACUUGGAGACAAGAAUUGGAUACAAGAGAUGAACUAGGGUUUGGAGAUGAGAUAGUGCUGAUGAAGAUGUUGAUGGAGAUUGCCCUCUCCCGAUGAGAGGAGCAUUGGUGAUGAUGAUGACGAUGAUUUCCCCCUCCCGGAGGGAAGUGUCCCCGGCAGAACAGCUCUGCCGGAGCCCUAGAUUGGUUCCGCCAAGGUUUCGCCUCGUGGCGGCUGAGUCUCGUCCCGAAAAGUUGCUUCCUAUUUUUUUCUUGACGAAAGACUUCAUAUAGGAGAAGAUGGGCGUCGGUGAAAGUGAGUUAUAUCGACUAGAGGGGGGUGAAUAGGCGAUCUUUAUGAAUUCUUUACUGAGGAAUUUGCCGGUGAGGAAAUUUCUUAGCGAAGAACUACUUGCAGCGGAAUAAGUACUCAGAAGUAAGCAUAACAGGGUACAGGCAUGGUCAUCAUGAUGAAAUGAAGACAAGCACAGAGUACAGAAAGCGUAAUCACAGGAUAACACAAGAUGAAGACAAACAGACUGAAGAAAUUGAACUGAGGAAAUUGAGAAAGUCUUCAGCCAAAGUCUUGAAACACAGAUAUGAACAAUCACUCAACACAGUAAUGAGGAAAUGAAAGAGUUGAGGAAAUAGAACCAGUAAGGUUGGUGAAGACAAUGAUUUGGUAGACCAGUUCCAACUGCUGUCUCAGUUGUACGUCUGGUUGGAGCGGCUGAGUAUUUAAACUCGAGGACACACAGUCCCGGACACCCAGUCGCUGAGCACGCAGCUCAGGACACCAAGUCCUCACCGUAUUCUCCUUGAACUAAGGUCACACAGACCUCGUCCAAUCACUCGUGGUAAGUCUUCAGGCGACUUCCAAACCUUCACAGACUCGGUCACUCGGUGAUCCACAAUUCCUCUUGGAUGCUCUAGACCAUGACGCCUAACCGUCUGGAAGAAGCACAAUCUUCAAAGGUAACAAGCGCCGGAUCCACGCAGGAUCAAUCUCUUCAGUGAUGCUUAAUCACUUUGGGUUUGUAGGUGUUUGGGUUUGGGUUUUCCUCACUUGAUGAUUUUCACUCGAAGUCCUCGGAGGAUGGGUUGCUCUCAAAUGAUAGGUGUCAAGUUCUCUCGGAGCAGCCAACCAGCUAGUGGUUGUAGGGGGCGGCUAUUUAUAGCCUAGUGAGCAGCCUGACAUGAUAAGACAUAAAUGCCCUUCAACGAUAUGACCGUUAGGUGGAUAAGAUAUUUUGGGAUAGCUGGCGCGCAGCACAACAACGGUCGGAAAUUUGACUCUCAAAUUCCUCAGGGCUAUCAUGUUCCUCACUGUGUAGGCAAUCCGCACUGGCGAAUUCCUAACUCCUCAGUAAGAACAAAUUCCUCAGCGACCAGAAGAACUUCGUCUCUGUCACUGAAGAAAUUGACUGAACUGUAUGAGAUUUCCAAUGGCUUCACUCGAAGGGAUUGGUAGGUGUAGGAUUUUGAGUUGAGCAUCACAUGGAACUUUUUCCUUAGUAUUUCCUCGACCCCCUUUAAUAGUACGGUGUUUCCUAUGACUCAAGAAAGAGAAAACGAAACUACAAAAACAAAAGUCUUCACGCUUCAUGUUCCUCAAAUGAAUACCAAGUCUUCAAGGUCACACCAAUUUCUUCACUUUCAGAGUCUUCAGAAUACCAAAGUCUUCAGUCGAAGAACUUCAUUUUUAGGGGUCGACUUUCUCUGUAAAUAUCAAAUUCCUCAUAGACUUAUAGACCUGUGUACACUCAUAAACACAUUAGUCCCUUAACCUAUAAGUCUUCAAUACACCAAAAUCACUAAGGGGCACUAGAUGCACUUACAAUCUCCCCCUUUUUGGUGAUUGAUGACAAUAUAGGUUAAGUUUGAAACGGGGUUAAACAUAUGAUGCGUAAAUACUGAUAUUGAGGAAUUUGAUUGCAAGAUAUAGAAGAACUCCCCCUGAAGAUGUGCAUAGUGAGGAAUUUGCUUUUGAGGCAAUGCACAUUUGAAGAGUUGAAUCAUGGAGAUCUCCUCCUAUAUCUUGUAAUUUAUACACGCAUUUGACAUAUAGUAUGAAGAAUUUGAAAUGCAUGAUGGAAUACGGUGACUGAUGUAAUUCAGCAUGCGUGCAAUAAUUUUAAUGAGGAAUAAGCAUGCAGAAGAACACAUCAAAAGUAUCAGAGCACCAUUGGGUUUAAGAUUACAACUCGAUCCAAUAAAGUUUCAGAAGAGCGAGAGUUGUAACUUAGCAAAAAAACGCCCAUAUAAUAGACUCGCUUGAAGACUAACUCAAAUUUCUCCCCCUUUGUCAUCGAAUGACCAAAAGGAUCGAAACUGAGGACUAACGCCCCUGAAGAAUAUCAAGUUGAUGGAGGAGCACCAGCGUUGUCGGGGUCGGUUGUCGUAGUAGGGCCUGCCACAGUGUCGUCCAAGUCUUCAUUUUUAUCAGUGUCGCGCGAUGAAGAAUAAGAGCUGGCCACCAAGGAAGGAACCUUGACCUUCUUGUAUUUCUUCGGAGGAGGUGCAGACCAGUCAAAUUUCUCCUUCAUACCCAUUUUCUUUAGAUCUUCUUCGCUGUAGACAUGAGACAGAACAGCCCAUGUACGGUUGAAGGUUUCAUGGAGGUAGUAUUGGUUUUUCUUCACUGCAUUAUGUGUUGAGGUCAUGUUGUGAAGAAUUGAACCAAACUGAUGCUUGACCCAUUUAUGAUUGCGAUCAACUUUCUGAUGAAGACUAAGGAGUAACUCACGAUCAGUCAUCACCCUGGGUGCUGUGGCUUGAGAAUUUUGCUUGGCAGAGUUGUUGGCGGCAGAGUCAUGUGUGGCAGAGUCAUCAUUUGUGGAGUAGGAUGCAGCCUUGCGAAAUUGACCAUCCAAUGGACGAAUGCCUUCAUCUAUCACAGCAGUUGCCUUGCCUUUGUCAUCAACUGAGGAAAAUGGCCGUUUGAGGACUUCAAUUGGAGGCAAGUAACUGCAGUGGUUCAGAGUAUCAGCCUUGUAAUUGAGUGAAGACCUUGUCCUGAUGAACCUCAUGAUCCAUGGUGCAUAAGGCUUUAGCUCAAAUGGUGACAUAGCAAUAUUCUCCAGAGUCCUCAUGAAGAAAUCAUGGAAGUUGACGGGAACGCCAUGAAUGAUAUUGAAAAGGAUAUUCUUCAUGAUGCCAACGACUUCUUCAUCAUUUGAGUCGUGGCCUUUGAUAGGACUCAUUGUCUUCGUCAGAAUGUGAUAGACAGUCUGAGGCACAUACAGUAAUUCCUUGACGAGGAAUUUGGUUCGAGGGGCCUGCCCUGGCUUCAAAGGCUUCAUCAGCACUUGCAUGUAAUGAUUUGUAAGCUCAGGUUCAUUGUAGACGCAACGAGCACCUUCAAGGGAAGGACUGAGUGGGAGGGCACGAAGCAAUUCAGUUGUUGGUGCCUUGUAAUGAGCAUUUUUUGACAUCCAGUCCAGGACCCAAGAGUUCACAUCUUCAGAAUUUCCUGUGAUGUGUAGCGUCACAUAGAAUUGAAGAAUGAGUUCUUCAUUCCAAUCACAUAUGUCAGUGCAGAAAUUUAGCAAUCCAGCAUCGUGAAGAACACUGAGGACUGGCUCGAAGCCUGGCAGAGAUUCCAUGUCCACGUGAGGAAUGUGUGCAUGAUCGAAGACUUUGUCUUUGUUGAAUAGCACUAAGGAAUAGAAAUUGGCUUGACUAGCAGUCCAGAAACGCCUCUUCCUUAUGCGAGUAGAGUCAUAUGGGUUGUAGUCAGUGAAGAAUACAUGCUCGCUAAAGAAAUCUUCAGCCUUAAACUUUUGCUUGUGUGAGAAUGGAUCCUUUGGCUUUGGCAGUGGAGUGUCAAUGAGUUGCAUCACGACCUCAGGAAUUGCAAUCUCAGGUUCUUCAUGCUGAGGAAUUUCUGGUUCCUCUUCAGUUGCAGUGUGCGUUGUCAUAUGAUCAGCAGCAGCAGGUUCUUCAGCACUAGUGGCUGGAAUUUCUUCAUGCACAGACGAGGUGGGAUGAGUUUCUUCAGAGCCCAUUUGAACGGUUGGUGCAGGGGACUGAGGUAUUUGUUGUAGUGGGGUGAAGAGUGGAGAAUCGAGGUGCUGACUUUCCCAAAAGUCAUCGUUCAUCACUGGCGUUGUACUUCCAAUAUCCAUGUCUUCAUCUUCAAUUUCUUCAACACCAGCCUCUUCAGCUGUGAACUGAGGCAUUGGUGAGGAUACAACAGGUGUAGAAGGGAUCGCAUCCACUUCAAUUUCUUUAUCAAUCUGCUCUGACGAAGUAGCAGAAUGAUUUUCUUCAUCAGAUCCGCUAGGGAUCAUAUAUUCUUCACCAAAAGGAACAAGGUCCUUUGAUGGUAUGGUGGAGAUCGGAACAGCAUCAAUAGGGUUUUCAAACGAGCUGGUCAUAGGCUUCAUUCUCUUCGGAGCUGAAGAAUCUGAAGCAGCUGAUGCUUUCCUUUUCUUCACUGCAGCUCGCUCUGCAGCCUUGGUCUUCUUCACAUCUGAUGCAGAUGGAAGGAUAGGAGUUGGUGUAGGCGCAGGAGGAGCUGAGGAAUCUGGUUGAUUUGCUUCAGGCGCAACUGAUGCAGUUGCCCUGACUUCUUCAUGUUCUUCAGGCGCACCACUAGUGGAUGCCCUGGCAAUUCCUUCAGCGGCUGGAAUGGAGUCAUCAGCCCUGGAACUAGCAUUUUCUUCAGCAGUCUGAAGGUCAUCAGCGGUGCUAGCAUGUUCUUCAGUAGGCUGAGCAGAAGCUUUAGCCUGAGGAACUUCUUGUUGCGUUGGAGCUGCAACAUUGGUGAACUUCUCAGUCAGUUUAACAAACUUGACUUUGGCUCCUUGCCAAUCAGCAUAGUAGGCGUUGAAGUUGUCGCUGAGGGCUUUGAUUUCAGACUGAAUUUUGAUGAGUUCAUCAGUUGUCAUUUUGACAAUGUUUUUCCUCAGGAACUUCUCUUUCCUGAACUGAGCCUUCUUGAUCUGUCUGGACUUCUCAAAUUUCCAUUUCUCUUCAGAGAUGAAAUGGGUCAGCAUGUGACUUUGGCCAGGAGUCAAAUGAAAAUCAGGCAUAGGGGUGUCUGGAUCCUUGUGCCAGAGAUCAAUGUAAUCGAGGAUCAUCUUAGGAUCCAAAAGCAGUGGCACAGGUGUGCCUUUGGCUCUAGCAACCCUUUCUUGUCUGUCUCUGAUGAUUUCUGCAAGUUCAUCAUCAUCAGCUUCAUCGUCAGAUGGCACUUGGAAGGCAACUUGUUUCUUCUUCGGACUUGGCCGAGGACCUCGUCCAACCGUUGCCUUUGUCUUCAGCAGAGUGGGGCCAGAUGAAGAAUUUGGUGUGGCAGAGGAACUCGCUGAGACACCAGAGGCAAUAGAGAUGCAUGCAGUCCUUUGGCACGUGGCCAGAUGCACAGGUGCUGAGGACUUUGCCAGAGCAGCUGAGGACGUCGGAGGAGGAGCUGAGGAUUUUGGAGGAGCAGGAGAAGCAUGAGGAACUGGCCGUGAGGGCUUUGAAGAUUCUGGCCGUGAGGGCAUUGCUGAGGAACUUGGCCGUGAGGGCACAGUUGGUGAAGCACUUGGCUUGUGUGCGGGCUUCUUUGUCAUUGAUUUCCUAGGCUUGACAGAGGCCUCAGUGGCAGCAGCAGCAGCAGAGUCUUCAUUGAAUUUCCUCACUGCUUCUUUGGCUUGUCUUGCCAACUUGGCUUGGCGCUUGGCCCAUUCUUCAAGAAAAUCCUCACCACGCUUGAUGCUGGUGGGGUCAGCUUCUUGGCCAGGUGCCAAUGGAGCUCUUGGGCAUGGAGGAUUAAGUGCAAAUUUCUUCAUAUACUUUGGAGUUACAUACCUGUACUCCCUCCAUUCUCUUGCCCAUCUCCUUUCAAUCCUCUGUAUGCACACCUUGCGCUGAUUUUUGUUCACCUUUCCGAAAUUGGCCUCAUCAGGUGUGCAAUAGUCAGCAUAGAUGUCCUUAGGUAUUUCAAAAGCAGACAUGACCUCAGGCUUCUUUCCUCCUUUCUAUGGCUUCUUACCGUCUGCCAUAUUCUUCAGUUGAGGAAUUUGAACAAUCGAAUUCUCUGAAGAAGUGUGCAACUUUUCUUCGAGGAACGCUGCAAAUGAGUUAAGUUGAUGAGAACCUAGUGAUUCAGCAGCGGACAUGAGUACCUGUGAACAGAGUAUAGUUGCGAGGAAUUUGGAGAGGUCAUAUGCGUUCUCAGAAGGUUUUUCAAAAAAGAACAAGUUUGAGGAAUUUGACCAGAUGAGCCUUGAAGAAUUUCACUAAGCGUUCUUUGUCUUAGGUUCCAGAGUUGUAUAGAUCGAGGAUCCACACAAUUGAGGAAUCUUGAAGAAAAAAGAUGCUUAGAGAAACGAAUCAAGAACAGAUGACUAGUGAGGUGUUUUGUGUGUGAGGAUUUGAAGAAUCAAAGAGGGAAGUAAAAGUAACUUUUAAUUACCCUGGAUGAAGAACACGACGAACUGAGAAGUGUAGAUUUGAAGCUUGUCAGUUCAGAUCUUCCACGCCCUAACUCGGCGGAGGAAGACGGCUACGGCGGCGGCAGAGUGAAGAUUUCCGCGGCCGGCGCGAGUACGACGGCGACGAGGUCGAGGCAGUGAAGCUCUUCCUCACCGGCGACGAUGGAGUAGCGGCGGCGCUAGGGUUUGAGAAGCUAGAGCGAGAGAGAGAGAGCGGUCGAGCGGAGUAAAGGAUGUGAGGAAGGGGAGAGGGGGUAUUUAUAGUCGCAGUGAAAAACUGUUCGCCCAAAGAUUUAGGACGAACGUGCCCCUGACCCUUCUCAUUAGCUUGACAUGUGUCACCCACGUACUGAAAAGUGGAGAUCGUGUUAGAUCGUGGGUGAAUAGAUAAGUCUAUCGUAGGAAGCGGAACGGUUUGAGCGGCAAAGCCAAAAAUUUGGAUAAGAUUAGUUUUAAAGUUCCGUUCACAAUUUCUUCAGCUGACAAGGACACAAUGAAGAUUUUGAACGAGUUUCAAAUAGAACACACAUGAAGAAUUUGUGAAUAGAUUGGGUUUAGUAUAGCAUAGAGGGGGAAGGGUCUGAUCACAUUCACUUAGCAGAAAAUGCAACUUGAAGAAAUAGCCAUAAGUGAAUGCUGUAGAGGACAUAAACCCAUACAUAUAUAUAUAUAGCCAGUGAAGAAAAACGACGGAAACGGUGAAGAUUUUGCAAAGUUGAAGAAUUUGAAAAACUGAAGAAUUUCAAAACUGAGGAAAAACUCAAAUUGAAGAUUUUCAACUUUGGUGGUGGCAUGACCCACCGUAUAAGAAUGAUGAUUUCAGACACCGCGUACAAUUGUCAUAGGGUUCUGAGAAUCAAAUUCUUCAUUAAUUUCUUCACACUUAGAGUGUUGUUCUUCAUUGAUUGAAGAAAAACAUUUCUUCAUGUGUUGCACAUCUAAGUCAUCAAUUUUGCAUAAGUGUUAGGAUGAGUGUCCUUUUCAAAGAACAUUUGAAGAUUCUAAGAUAUUUAGCUCACACCGCAACUUGCUAAAUCUCUUCUCAUCCAAGGGCUUUGUCAAGAUAUCGGCUAGCUGGUCUUCAGUCUUCACAUGCUCAAUAGAAAUAUCGCCCUUCAACACAUGAUCGCGAAGAAAAUGAUGACGAAUCUGAAUGUGCUUUGUCUUCGAGUGCUGAACUGGGUUGUGAGCAAUCUUGAUGGCACUCUCAUUAUCACAAAGGAGAGGCACAUUAUUCACGUUGACGCCGUAGUCCUUGAGAGUUUGCUUCAUCCAUAGCAGUUGAGCACAGCAAGAACCAGCAGCAAUGUACUCAGCUUCAGCAGUAGACAGUGAUACACAGUUCUGUUUCUUCGAGGACCAACAGACCAUCAUCCGAGGAAAUGACAAGUACCAGAUGUUGACUUGCGGUCCACACGAUCACCAGCAUAGUCAGAGUCAGAAUAUCCAAUGAGAUCAAAAGCAGAGCCCUUGGGGUACCAUAAUCCUAGUGUUGGUGUGUGAGCUAGAUAUCGAAGAAUAUGCUUCACAGCCUUAUGGUGUGAUUCCUUCGGUGUAGCUUGAAAUCGGGCACACAUGCAAACACUAAGCAUUAUAUCUGGCCUAGAUGCACAUAAGUACAAUAAAGAACGAAUCAUGGAGCGGUAUACCUUUUGAUCAAAGUCAAUACCAUUUUCAUUAGUGCAUAGAUGGCCAUUUGUGGGCAUAGGAUUUUUGACGCCUUUGCAAUCUUGCAUGCCGAAUUUCCUCAGAACAUCCUUGAGGUAUUUCUCCUGAGAUAUGAGUAUGCCAUUGCGCUAUUGACGAAUUUGAAGACCUAAGAAGAAUUUCAACUCUCCCAUCAUAGACAUUUGAUAUUCUUCACUCAUCAUAUAGGCAAAUUCAUCACUAUAACGUUGGUCAGUACAGCCAAAGAUAAUAUCAUCAACGUAUAUUUGGCACACAAACAGUUCACCAUCAUAAGAUUUAGUAAAGAGAGUAGGGUCAAGUGAACCGGGUGUGAAGCCAUUCUUCAUGAGGAAUUCCUUCAAAGUAUCAUACCACGCCCAAGGGGCCUGCUUGAGGCCAUAGAGGGCCUUGUUGAGUCUGAAGACUUUGUCAGGAUUCUUUGGAUCUUCAAAACCUGGGGGUUGAGCAACAUAUACUUCUUCCUCAAGCUUACCAUUGAGGAAUGCACUUUUCACAUCCAUUUGAUGUAAAGUGAUGUCAUGAUGGUUAGCAUAAGCAAGUAAUAUGCGAAUAGCCUCAAGUCUAGCAACAUGUGCAAAAGUUUCAUCGAAAUCAAUUCCUUCAACCUGUGUGUAGCCUUGAGCUACAAGUCGUGCCUUAUUCCUCACCACAAGGCCAUUUUCAUCUUGUUUGUUGCGGUAGAUCCACUUUGUGCCAAUGAUAUUAUGCUUGCGAGGAUCUGGAUGUUUGACCAGUUCCCAGACAUUGUUGAGCUCGAACUGAUGUAAUUCUUCUUGCAUGGCCUAAAUCCACUCAGGCUCCAGAAAUGCUUCAUCUACCUUAGUGGGCUCUGUGAUAGAGACAAAAGCAUAGUGCCCACAAAAGUUAGAUAAAUGUGAAGCUUUUGAGCGUGUGAGAGGACAUGGUGCUUCAAUGUCAUCGAUGAUCUUUUCAACUUGCACUUCUUUUGCAACGCAAGGAUGAGAUGGUUGUCGUCGAGGAAUUUGAUCAGCAUUUUCUUCAGCACCAUUUUCUUCAGCAUCGUCUUCAGGUGCAUCAGCUCGACAUUCUUCGUGUUCUGGAAUGAAUUCUUCAGCAGAUUCUUCAGUAGGAAUGACAUCCUCAGUCGCCUUGAACUUGAUAGAAUCCUCAGGUGCUGGUUCAUCUAUCACAGAAGGUAGGUGCUCUCUUUGCGAGCCAUUAGUUUCAUCGAACCGCACAUCUACAGUUUCAACAAUCUUGUAAAGAACAUUGUUGAAGACUCUGUAGGUGUGCGAGUCCUUUCCAUAACCAAGCAUAAAACCCUCAUGUGCUUUCGGUGCAAAUUUAGAAUUGUGAUGAGGAUCUCUAAUCCAACAUUUAGCACCAAAGACUUUGAAAUAACUCACAUUGGGUUUCUUGUCAGUGAGGAGUUCAUAGGCAGUCUUCUUGAAGAAUUUGUGAAGAUAUACUCUGUUGAUGAUGUGGCACGCGGUAUCAAUUGCAUCAAUCCAAAAACGACGAGGCGUUUUGUAUUCAUCAAGCAUAGUGUGAGCCAUUUCAACAAGAGUUUUGUUCUUGCGCUCCACGACGCCAUUUUGCUGAGGAGUAUAAGGAGCAGAUAACUCAUGAGUAAUACCAAGUUCAUCAAGAUAGUCAUCAAGACCGUAAUUCUUGAACUCAGUUCCAUUGUCACUCCUGAUGUGCUUGAUCUUCACACCAAAGUUGGUUGAAGCCCUCGAGGAAAAUCGUUUGAAGACUUCCUGCACUUCAUGUUUGUAAGUAACAAUGUGUACCCAUGUGUAACGAGAAUAAUCAUCAACAAUAACAAAGCCAUAUAGAGAUGCAUCAUUAGUGACUGCUGAGUAAUGAAUAGGACCAAAGAGGUCCAUGUGAAGCAAUUCGAAUGGUCGAGUAGUGGUCAUGAUAGUCUUUACUGGAUGCUUGGACUUGAUCAUUUUUCCAGCUUCACAGGCUCCACACAAGUGAUCCUUGAGGAAUUUGACAUUCUCAAUGCCAAUGACAUGCUUCUUCUUUGCAAGCGUGUGCAAAUUCCUCAUGCCUGUAUGACCAAGUUGUCGAUGCCAUAGCCAGCCUUCUGAAGCUUUUGCAAGUAGGCACACGGCUGGUUGUGGUCCUGUAGAGAAAUCAACAAUAUACAAGUCUCCUCUCCUAAAGCCUUCGAAGACUUUGGAAUGGUCAGCUUCCAUAACCACAACACAACGAUACUUGCCAAAGACAACAACCAUAUCAAGAUCACAAAGCAUUGAGACAGACAUGAGGUUGUAUCCUAAGGACUCAACAAGCAUGACUUUGUCCAUGUGUAUGUCCUUAGAGAUCGCAACCUUACCUAGACCCAAUACCUGACUUUUGCCUUUGUCAGCAAAGAUAAUAUGCUUCAGAUGUGAUGGAGAUAAGGGAGCAUCCAUCAAUAGAUUCUUGUCACCAGUCAUGUGAUUUGUACAUCCACUAUCGAGGACCCACUCAAAGGCUUUGGGUUGAUCAUCCUGCAGAUGAAUUAGUGCAGCUUACGAACUCAUAUACUUCAUUAGUGAAGAAUAUGAUAUCAAAUUCAUCAGAUGAAUUUCAUCAAGCAGUAAAACAGAUAUAGCAGUAUGAGGACGUGUGAAAUGAAAGUUCAUUUCUUCAUGAUUAGCCUGCAUCCUUUCAGGCAUUUUUUGUCAGGCCCCCAGCAAAUUCUUCAGACGUUAAAGCACGUUGGAGACCUGACCCUGCAGAAGAGAUUAGUUCUUUUUCUUCACCACCCACAUCUGAAGGGGUGGCAAAGAGUUCAUCACUCUACGAGCUCCAUAUGAGAAUGUGAAAGUGCAACUAUCCCUAGGUGGUUUUGGUAAUUCAUAACAACAUAUAGCUCAUUGAGCUAAUGCUAUUCCAAGAUGAAUAUUUUAGGAAAGCUCAAUGAUUGGCAUGGCUUGGAUGAUGAAAGUGGAUCCCUCAAAAUAUUAAGGACAAAGGAUUGGCUCAAGCUCAAAAGCUCAAGACUCUACAUUUUACAUUUUAGUGAUCCAAGAUCACAUUGAGUCGAUAGGAAAAUCCAAUACUAUCAAGGAGGGAUGAGGUGUUGCUUAAUGAGCCUCUUACUUCAUGUGCUUAGUGAUAUGCUCCAAAACCCUCCACUACUUUCUCACAUCCACAUAUGACCUAAACCUAAAGUCAAACUCGGCCCUACCAAUUCUUUCUAUCCGGCGCCACCGAGUUCAGAUGUCAUAGCCACUGCCACAAACCCUAGGCAAAUCGGUCUCACUGAUAGGGAUCUCGAUCUCACCGAGAUGGGAUUGUAAUCUCUCUGUUUCCCUUUGUAACGUUUCGGUCUAACCGAAGUGAGUGAUCGGUCCCACCGAGAUUACAAUGUAAACUCUCUGUUUCCCUUUCGUAACUUUUCGGUCUCACCGAAAGAGCGAAUCGGUCCCACCAAGUUUACCUGACCAACUCUCUGGUUAGCUUAUUACCAAAAUCGGUCUCAGCGAGUUUGUGUAAUCGGUCUCACCGAGAUUACGUUAUGCCCUAACCCUAACCAUACCGGUCCUACCGAGAUGCAUGUCAGUCCCACCAAAAAUCCUAAUGUUCACUAGGUUUACUAAAAUCGGUUCGACCGAGUUUGUUGAUUUGGUCCCACCGAGUUUGGUAAAUUGUGUGUAACGGUUAGAUUUUGUGUGGAGGCUAUAUAUACCCCUCCACCUCCUCUUCAUUCGUGGAGAGAGCCAUCAGAACAAACCUACACUUCCAACUUACCAGUUCUGAGAGAGAACCACCUACUCAUGUGUUGAGGCCAAGAUAUUCCAUUCCAACCAUAUGAAUCUUGAUCUCUAGCCUUCCCCGAGUUGUUUUCCACUCAAAUCUUCUUUCCACCAAAUCCAAAUCCUGUGAGAGAGAGUUGAGUGUUGGGGAGACUAUCAUUUGAAGCACAAGAGCAAGGAGUUCAUCAUCAACACACCAUUUAUUACUUCUUGGAGAGUGGUGUAUCCUAGAUUGGCUAGGUGUCACUUGGGAGCCUCCGACAAGAUUGUGGAGUUGAGCCAAGGAGUUUGUAAGGGCAAGGAGAUCGCCUACUUCAUGAAGAUCUACCGCUAGUGAUGCAAGUCCUUCGUGGGCGACGGCCAUGGUGGGAUAGACAAGGUUGCUUCUUCGUGGACCCUUCGUGGGUGGAGCCCUCCGUGGACUCGCGCAAUCGUUACCCUGCGUGGGUUGAAGUCUCCAUCAACGUGGAUGUACAAUAGCACCACCUAUCCGAACCACGACAAAUACAUCCGUGUCUCCAAUUGUGUUUGAAUCCUCCAAACCCUUCCCUUCACAUUCUUGCAAGUUGCAUGCUUUAUUUUCCGCUGCCACUAUACUCUUUGCAUGCUUGCUUGAAUUGUGUGAAGAUUGCCUGACUUGUUCAAAGAUAGCUAAAAUCUGCCAAAGUCCAAAAUUGGGAAAAUGUUAGGUUUUUAAUUGGUCAAGUAGUCUAAUCACCCCCCCCCCUCUAGACAUACUUCAAGGUCCUACAGAAUGGUGGCAUAGAAGCCAAUCCAUUUCGUUUCACACAAGAGGGGUUAGGGUAAGCAUAUGAAUAAGCAGAGAAAUUCUUUGAGGACUUAUGAACAUAAUGGUUUGAGGAAUAAUGCACAUAUUCAUAGCCCUUAGCUCUACCCUGCGAAACAGAGUUGUUAGCACGAUGAUAAUCAUAUGAGGACUUUGAUCCUUUUGAGGAAUUUGAUCUACGUGAGGAAUUUGGUCCGUAUGAGGACUUGGGUCCAUAUGAAGAAUUUGGUCCAUAUGAAGAAUUUGAUCUGGGGUUCCUAUUCUUCACAGGUGGUGUCAUGAGGACAUUCACCUGAAGACUUUCAAGGCACCUUUUGGGAACCUAGAUUUUCUUCAUAGGAGAACCGUUCCUGCAGUUAGUGCCAACAUAUCUAGCAAAUACUUCACCAUUCUGAUUUUUGAACAGUUUAUAGUUGGAGUCAAAUGACUCAUCAGAAGAAUGAGGAGAUUCACAUGUAAAGCCAGAUAAGUUAGAUGGAUCAACUGGAGGUCCCUUUGCAGCAACCCAUGAGAUUUUGGGGUACUACUCAGGCUUCCAGUAUGUACCAUCAGCAUUGAGUUUCCUCUCAAAGGCAAUACCCUCUUUCCUAGGGUUCCUGUUGAGGAUCUGCUUUUUAAGCACAUCACACAGAGUCUGAUGCCCUUUGAGGCUUUUGUACAUGCCUGUCAUAUACAAUUCCUUCAGCCCUGCAUUGUCAGUGAUACUAGCGAUGUCCUCAGAUGAGGAAUUAGUGAUAGCAGAUGCAGGUGAAGAAUUUGUAACAGUUGAAGCAUUUGAACAUUCAGGUGAAGAAUUAGCAGAUUCACGUUCAAUGCACUUUAAGCAUGGAGGAACAAAUUCUUCCUGAGAAGCGCUGAUUUGUUGAGCUAGCAAUGAAUCGCGCUCCUUCUGAAGAUCUUCAUAACUCACUCUUAGCUUCUCAAGAUCUUGCUUUCUUUGAAGAAAUUCAUAAGAAAGCUUCUCAUGAUCAGACAAGAGAGUGUUAUGAUGACCUCGAAGGCUGUCAAACCUAGACUGAAGUCUUUGAAGAUUUUCAGUGAGGGCUUUAGUGUGAUCCAUUUCUUCACCCAACAUAUCAUCACUUUUGUCUAGCAUGUUUUGAACCUUUUCAAAAGCCCUUUGUUGUUUUACAGCAAUCUUAGCAAGUUUAGAGUAGCUGGGCUUGAGGUCUUCAUCAGAUUCAUUCUCACUAGAUUCAGAGGAGGUAUAUUUGAGUACCUUGGCACCCUUUGCCAUGAAGUAAUAGGUGGGAGCGUAGUCAUCAUUAUCUUCAUCAGCCUUGUUGGUGAGGUCAGUUUCUUCAGAGUUGAAGAUAGACUUGCUGACGAAUGCAGUAGCGAGAGCCAGACUCGCCACACCAGACUCGGACUCCUCAGAUGCCUCCUCUUCCUCAUGUUCCUCAGAUUCAGCUUCAGAGUCCAUUUCCUUGCCAAUGAAUGCCCGAGACUUCUUGGAGCUGCUCUUCUUGUGAGAUGAAGACUUCAAGGAUUUUGAUGAUGAAGAUUUUGACGAUUUCUUCUUCUUCUUAGCGUCAUCAGAACUGUAAUCCUUGUAUUUCUUCUUCUUUAAUUCCUUUUCCCACUGAGGACAAUCUUGAAUAUAGUGACCAGGUUUCUUGCAUUUGUGGCAUAGCCUUCUCUUGUAGUCACUGGAUGAGGAAUCACUGCUCCUUGAGGAUUUUCCAAAGCGGCCACGUCUUGAGAAUUUUUGGAACUUUUUCACGAGCAGUGCUAGCUCCUGGCUCAAUUCUUCAGGAUCACCAAGGCUGCUACCAGAAUCUUCACAUUCAGAUUCAGACACUGCCUUGGCCUUCAGGGCACGUGAUCUGCCAUAGCUCGAACCAUAGAGAUCUCUCUUUUCAGCAAGCUGGAACUCAUGAGUAUUUAGCCUUUCGAGGAUAUCAGCGGGAUCAAGUGACUUGUAAUCAGCACGUUCUUGUAUCAUCAAUGCCAGAGUGUCAAAUGAGGAAUCAAGCGAUCUCAACAAUUUCUUCACCACCUCAUGGUCGGUGAUGUCAGUGGCACCAAGCGCUUGAAGCUCAUUUGAGAUGUCAGUGAGGCGAUCGAAGGUUUGUUGAACAUUUUCAUUGUCGAGUCUUUUGAAGCGGUUGAAGAGAUUGCGAAGAACAUCAACUCGAGAGUCACGCUGAGUUAAGACUCCUUCAUUUACUUUGGACAGCCUAUCCCAAAUAAGCUUAGCAGUUUCCAAAGCACUCACUCUUCCAUACUAUCCUUUGCUCAGAUGGCCACAUAUGAUAUUCUUCGCUUGAGAAUCGAGUUGCUUGAAUCUCUUCACAUCGGUAGCGUUCAGUGAGGGUGAGCCAGUGGGAACACCAUUUUCCACAACAUACCAGAGAUCGUUGUCAAUUGCCUCAAGAUGCAUUCGCAUCUUGUUCUUCCAGUAGGGGUAGUCCGUUCCAUCGAAGGUAGGACACCCAGCUGAGACCUUGAUCAUACCUGCGGUCGACAUAACUAAAACUCCAGGCGGUUAAACCAAAAUCACACAGAACAAGGGAGUACCUUGCUCUGAUACCAAUUGAAAGUGAGUUAUAUCGACUAGAGGGGGGUGAAUAGGCGAUUUUUAUGAAUUCUUUACUGAGGAAUUUGCCGGUGAGGAAAUUACUUAGCGAAGAACUACUUGCAGCCGAAUAAGUACUCAGAAGUAAGCAUAACAAAGUACAGGCAUGGUCAUCAUGAUGAAAUGAAGACAAGCACAGAGUACAGAGAGCGUAAUCACAGGAUAACACAAGAUGAAGACAAACAGACUGAAGAAAUUGAACUAAGGAAAUUGAGAAAGUCUUCAGUCAAAGUCUUCAAACACAGAUAUGAACAAUCACUCAACAUAGUAAUGAGGAAAUGAAAGAGUUGAGGAAAUAGAACCAGUAAGGUUGGUGAAGACAAUGAUUUGGUAGACCAGUUCCAACUGCUGUCUCAGUUGUACGUCUGGUUGGAGCGGCCGGGUAUUUAAACUCGAGGACACACAGUCCCAGACACCCAGUCGCUGAGCAUGCAGCUCAGGACACCAAGUACUCACCGUAUUCUCCUUGAACUAAGGUCACACAGACCUCAUCCAAUCACUCAUGGUAAGUCUUUAGGCGACUUCCAAACCUUCACAGACUCGGUCACUCGGCGAUCCACAAUUCCUCUUGGAUGCUCUAGACCAUGACGCCUAACCGUCUGGAAGAAGCACAGCCUUCAAAGGUAACAAGCGUCGGAUCCACGCAGGAUCAAUCUCUUCAGUGAUGCUCAAUCACUUUGGGUUUGUAGGUGUUUGGGUUUGGUUUUUCCUCACUUGAUGAUUUUCACUCAAAGUCCUCGGAGGAUGGGUUGCUCUCAAAUGACAAGUGUCAAGUUCUCUCAGAGCAGCCAACCAGCUAGUGGUUGUAGGGGGCGGCUAUUUAUAGCCUAGGGAGUAGCCUGACAUGAUAAGACAUAAAUGCCCUUCAAUGAUAUGACCGUUAGGUGGAUAAGAUAUUUUGGGACAGCUGGCGCGUAGCACAGCAACAGUCGGAAAUUUGACUCUCAAAUUCCUCAGGGCUAUCAUGUUCCUCACUGUGUAGGCAAUCCGCACUGGCGAAUUCCUAACUCCUCAGUCAGAAAAAAUUCCUCAGCGACCAGAAGAACUUCGUCUCUGUCACUGAAGAAAUUGACUGAACUGUAUGAGAUUUCCAAUGGCUUCACUCGAAGGGAUUGGUAGGUGUAGAAUUUUGAGUUGAGCAUCACAUGGAAAUUUUUCCUUAGUAUUUCCUCGACCCCCUUUAACAGUACGGUGUUUCCUAUGACUCAAGAAAGAGAAAACGAAACUACGAAAACAAAAGUCUUCACGCUUCAUGUUCCUCAAAUGAAUACCAUGUCUUCAAGGUCACACCAAUUUCUUCACUUUCAAAGUCUUCAGAAUACCAAAGUCUUCAGUCGAAGAACUUCAUUUUUAGGGGUCGACUUUCUCUAUAAAUAUCAAACUCCUCAUAGACUUAUAGACCUGUGUACACUCAUAAACACAUUAGUCCCUUAACCUAUAAGUCUUCAAUACACCAAAAUCACUAAGGGGCACUAGAUGCACUUACAGUCGGAGAGCCACCAGGGGGCCCACGAGGUAGGGGGCGCGCCCCCCACCCUCGUGAGCAGGGUGUGGGCCCCCUAGCCUUCAUCUUUGGCGACGAUUUUUCUUUAUUUAUUUUAAGAUAUUCCAUGGAGUUUCAGGACUUUUGGAGUUGCACAGAAUAGGUCUCCAAUAUUUGCUCCUUUUCCAGCCCAGAAUUCCAGCUGCCGGCAUUCUCCCUCUUCAUGUGAACCUUGUAAAAUAAGAGAGAAUAGCCAUAAGUAUUGUGACAUAACAUGAAAUAACAACCCAUAUUGCAAUAAAUAUCGAUAUAAAAGCAUGAUGCAAAAUGGACGUAUCAACUCCCCCAAGCUUAGACCUCGCUUGUCCUCAAGCGAAAAGCCGAUAACAAUAAAUAUGUCCUCAUGUUUAGGGGUAGAGGCGUCGAUAAAAAUAAAAUAUGAACAUGCAGGCAUCAUGAUUAUUCUCAUAACAGCAACAUAUAUAGAUUUUGUCAUAUGAUUACUUAUGUUCAAGUGAUGAUCUUUUCACAAUGCGAAAGUAUGAAUUAGAAACCUUAUUGAGCACCAACAAGUUAUAACCUCAGUCAUUGAAGCAAUCGCAAUUUAUCAUAACAUUGGAAAGAGUCUAUGUCAGAGCUUAAAAGCAAGUCCACAUAUUCAACUAUCAUUUAGUCCUUCAUAAUUGCUAACACUCACGCAAUACUUGUGGUUACGGAGUUUUAAUCAGACACAGAGAAAGAUAGGGGCUUAUAGUUUUGCCCCACAACCUUUUACCUCAAGGGUAAUGUCAACAAUAAUAACUCAUGCUCCCCUACAUCCAAUUAGAUAUGUAUAUCAUGUUCUUUCCAACAUGCUGAGCUUGCCAAAGGAUAAAAUGAAAAAGGAAAGGUGAAGAUCAGCGUGACUCUUGCAUAAGGUAGAGGAUAAUAAUAAAAGAUAGGCCCUUCGCAGAGGGAACCAGAGGUUGCCAUGCGCUUUUAUGGUUGGAUGCACAAAAUCUCAAUGCGAAAGAACGUCACUUUAUAUUGCCCCUUGUGAUAUGAACCUUUAUUAUGCAGUCCGUCGCUUUUAUUACUUUCAUAUCACAAGAUCGUAUAAAGCUUAUUUCUCCCACACCAAUCAAUCAUACAUAUUUAGAGCAAUUUUUAUUGCUUUGCACCGAUGACAACUUACUUGAAGGAUCUUACUCAAUCCAUAGGUAGAUAUAGUGGACUCUCAUGGCAAAACUGGUUUAAGGAUAUUUGGAAGCACAAGUAGUAUCUCUACUUGGUGCUGAGAAUUUGGCUAGCAUGAGGGGGAAAGGCAAGCUCAACCCGUUAGAGGAUCCACGACAACAUACUUUAUCUCAGAUGUAAGAAAACAUAACUCAUCAUGUUGUCUUCCUUGUCCAACCUCAACUCUUUAGCAUGUCAUAUUUUAAUGAGUGCUCCCAAUCAUAAAAGAUGUCAAUGAUAAUAUAUCUAUAUGUGAAACCUCUCUUUCCUUAUUACUUCCUAUUUAUUGCAACGAUGACCAAAGCUAUAUUUUCCAACUCCCAACAACUUUUAAUCAUCAUACUCUUUCUAUGUGAAGUCAUUACUUUCAAUAAGAUCAAUAUGAACUCUUUGAUUCUUUUUAUUCUUUUUCUUUUAUUCACCCAAGAUCAUGGCAAAAUAAUCAAGCCCUUGACUCAACACUAAUCUUUAUUAUAUAUAUAGCUCACGGACUCGAUUACAUAGAGGGAUCAUAAAGCAAAACUCAUAACUAGAUCAUGCCAUAAACUUUAUUCUACUAGAACAGGAUACUACUAAUGGGAUCAAACUAAGAAAAACGGUAAAGAUAGGAGUUGUGAUGGUGAUACGAUACCGGGGCACCUCCCCCAAGCUUGGCAGUUGCCAAGGGGAGUGCCCAUACCCAUGUGAUUAUAUCUCCUUCUUUGUUGUUGGUGUAAUAUUUUUGGCGAUGAUUCCCCUCAAGAUACGGUUCUCCUCCUCGAGCUUAUUGACUUGCUGCUUGAGGUCCAUUAUUUCCUUGCGAAGCUUUCCUGUAAUGGCUAAAGCUCCUUGCACCCAAGGGUGUUGCAUAGCUGCGGGAGAACAAGAGACACUCCUCCUCAUAUUCUCAUAAGAAAGAAAUCUAACAUUGGAAGGGAUAAUCGAGUUUGGAAUAGCUGAGCUCUGUAGUUCCCCCAUCGUAAACCCAGCUCGGAGGCGAGAGGUGACUUCUUGAUCUUCCAUGGCAUCUACCCUCAUCAGGUCAGCCUCCAUCUCUUCCUCUGUUGCUGGCCCAAAGUGGUCAGCGUCGCUGUUUGCCCUUGGUUCCGGUGCCUGGUUAGAUACCCGGCUCUCCCCGACUGACUCCUGAGAAGACAUCUUGCUCUAAUCUGCAGCAGCAACAGCUCGAAACAAAAACAGAGGAUAUUUGCGUGAUACGGGAGUCAAAACCUUCGGGAGAAUAUAUAAUGAAUUUUUACCGACCAAAACAUGUAUCAUGCAAGAAAACGGAGUCCGGAGGGUGCACGAGGUGCUCACGAGGUAGGGGGGCGCGCCCAGGGGGGUAGGGCGCGCCCACCACCCUCGUGUCCUUUCUGGACUGCCACUUAUUUUUCUAUUUUUCUAAAUAUUCCAAAACUGAGAAAUAUUGCCUUAAAAAUUGUUUUGGAGUCGGCUUACUUACCAUACCACAUACCUAUUCCUUUUCGGAGUCUGAAACGGUCGGGAAAGUGUCCCUUAUGUAUUCCCCCGGGGUUACGGUUUCAAUAAUAUUGGUUUCAACAUUUAUAGGAUUACCUGAAAUAUAGUGUUUGAUCCUUUGACCGUUUACCACCUUCGGAUUUGUGCCUUCGAAGUUGUUGAUUUUAUAGCACCGGAACGAUAGACCUCCUCGAUAACAUAGGGACCUUCCCAUUUAGAGAGAAGUUUUCCUGCAAAAAAUCUUAAACGAGAGUUGUAUAGCAAUACAUAAUCACCUACAUUAAACUCACGCUUUUGUAUCCUUUUGUCAUGCCAUCUCUUAACUUUUUCUUUAAACAACUUAGCAUUUUCAUAAGCUUGGGUUCUCCAUUCAUCGAGUGAGCUAAUAUCAAAUAACCUCUUUUCACCGGCAAGUUUGAAAUCAUAGUUGAGCUCUUUAAUAGCCCAAUAUGCCUUAUGUUCUAGUUCGAGAGGUAAGUGACAUGCUUUUCCAUAAACCAUUUUAUACGGAGACAUACCCAUAUGAUUCUUAUAUGCAGUUAUAUAGGCCCAUAAUGCAUCAUCAAGUUUCUUGGACCAAUUCUUCCUAGACCUAUUAAUAGUCUUUUGCAAAAUUAAUUUGAGCUCUCUAUUGCUCAAUUCUACUUGACCACUAGACUGCGGGUGAUAAGGGGAUGCAAUUCUAUGAUUAACAUCACAUUUAGCAAGCAUUUUAUGGAAAGCACCAUGAAUAAAGUGUGAACCACCAUCAGUCAUUAAAUAUCUAGGGACUCCAAACCUCGGAAAAAUAACUUCCUUAAGCAUUUUAAUAGAGGUGUUAUGAUCAGCACUACUAGUUGGAAUAGCUUCUACCCACUUAGUAACGUAAUCAACAGCAACCAAAAUAUGUGUAUAUCCAUUAGAGGCAGGAAAAGGUCCCAUAUAAUCAAAGCCCCAAACAUCAAAUGGUUCUAUAACAAGUGAAUAAUUCAUAGGCAUUUCAUGACGUCUACUAAUAUUACCAAUUCUUUGGCAUUCAUCACAAGACAAGACAAACUUACGGGCAUCCUUGAAAAGAGUAGGCCAAUAAAAACCGGAUUGCAAUACCUUAUGUGCAAUUCUAUCUCCAGCGUGGUGUCCUCCAUAAGCUACGGAGUGACACUUGCGUAGGAUUUGUUCAUGUUCAUGCUCAGGCACACAACGUCUAAUAACACCAUCUACUCCUUCUUUAUAAAGAUGUGGGUCAUCCCAAAAGUAAUGUCGCAAAUCAUAGAAAAACUUUUUCUUUUGCUGGUAUGUGAAGCUAGGUGGUAUAAAUAUAGCAACAAUAUAAUUAGCAUAAUCAGCAUACCAUGGAGUGCUAUGAGAAGUGCUUAUGACAUUUAAUUGUUCAUCAGGAAAGCUAUCAUCAAUAGGUAGUGGGUCAUCAAGAACAUUCUCUAACCUAGACAAGUUGUCUGCAACGGGGUUCUCAGCUUUUUUUUCUAUCAACAAUAUGUAAAUCAAAUUCUUGUAGCAAAAGAGAACCCAUCUAAUAAGUCUAGGCUUUGCAUCUUUCUUUUCCAUAAGAUAUUUAAUAGCAGCAUGAUCAGUGUGAAUAGUUACUUUAGAAUCAACAAUAUAGGGUCUGAAUUUAUCACAAGCAAAUACAACUGCUAAAAGUUCCUUUUCAGUAGUAGCAUAAUUUCUUUGAGCAUUGUCUAGAGUCUUACUAGCAUAAUGGAUAACAUUUAAUUUCUUAUCAACUCUUUGUCCUAGAAUAGCACCUACAGCAUAAUCACUAGCAUCACACAUAAUUUCAAAGGGUAAAUUCCAAUCAGGUGGCUGAACAACAGGUGCAGAGACUAAUGCUUUCUUAAGUAUUUCAAAUGCUUCUACACAAUCAUCAUCAAAGACAAAUGGUACAUCUUUUUGUAAUAAAUUAGUCAGAGGCCGAGAAAUUUUUGAGAAGUCCUUAAUGAACCUCCUAUAAAAUCCGGCGUGACCAAGGAAACUUCUUAUACCUUUGAUGUCCUUGGGACAUGGCAUCUUUUCAAUAGCAUCAACCUUGGCUUUAUCAACUUCAAUACCUCUUUCAGAAACUUUGUGCCCCAAGACAAUACCUUCAUUAACCAUAAAGUGGCACUUUUCCCAAUUCAAGACAAGAUUAGUUUCUUCACAUCUCUGCAAAACUCGAUCAAGAUUGCUCAAGAAAUCAUCAAAAGAGGAUCCAUAGACGGAAAAGUCGUCCACGAAAACCUCACAAAUCUUUUCACAAAAGUCGGAGAAUAUAGCCAUCAUGCAUCUUUGAAAGGUAGCAGGUGCAUUACAUAGACCAAAAGGCAUACGUCUAUAAGCAAAAGUACCAAAAGGGCAUGUAAAAGUAGUCUUUGAUUGAUCUUUAGCCGACACAGGUAUUUGAGAGAAACCAGAAUAACCAUCUAGAAAGCAAUAAUGUGUAUGUUUGCAUAAUCUUUCUAGCAUCUGAUCAAUAAAAGGUAAGGGGUAAUGAUCUUUCUUAGUAGCUUUAUUUAAUUUGCGGAAAUCAAUUACCAUCCUAUAACCUGUGAUAAUUCUUUGAGGGAUCAAUUCAUCUUUAUCAUUAGGGACAACAGUAAUACCUCCCUUCUUAGGGACACAAUGGACAGGACUUACCCACUGACUAUCAGCAACGGGAUAAAUUAUACCUGCCUCCAGAAGCUUGAGUAUUUCUUUUCUUACCACUUCUUUCAUUUUAGGAUUCAAACGUCGUUGAGGAUCACGAACUGGUUUGGCAUCCGCUUCCAAAUUUAUUUUAUGUUGACAUAGAGUGGGACUAAUGCCCUUAAGAUCAUCAAGAGUAUAUCCAAUAGCGGCACGGUGCUUCUUCAGAGUUUUCAAUAAUCUUUCUUCUUCAUGCUCUGAAAGGUUAGCACUAAUAAUAACAGGAUAUAUUUUCUUUUCAUCAAGAUAAGCAUAUUUAAGAUUAUCAGGCAAUGGUUUAAGCUCAAACACGGGAUCACCCUUGGGUGGAGGAGGAUCCCCUAGGAUUUCAACAGGCAAAUUGUGUUUCAGAAUAGGUUCCUGUUUAAAGAAUACUUCAUCUAUUUCCCUUCUUUCAUUCAUGAACAUAUCAUUUUCAUGGUCUAGCAAAUAGUGUUCUAAAGGAUCACUAGAAGGUACGACAAUAGAAGCAAGACCAAUAAUUUCAUCCUUACUAGGCAAUUCUUCUUCACGAUGUUGUUUACUAAAUUUAGAGAAAUUAAACUCAUGAACCAUAUCAUCCAAGCCAAUAGUAACAACAUUCUUUUUGCAGUCUAUCUUAGCAUUAACAGUAUUCAAGAAGGGUCUACCAAAUAUAAUGGGACAAAAGCUAUCUUGUGGAGAACUAAGAACAAGAAAAUCAGCAGGAUAUUUAGUUUUCCCACACAAGACUUCAACAUCUCUAACAAUUCCCAUUGCAGAUAUAGUAUCUCUAUUGGCAAGUUUAAUUGUAACAUCAAUAUCUUCUAACUCAGCAGGUGCAAUUUCAUGCUUGAUUUCCUUAUAUAAAUCAUAAGGUAUAACACUAGCACUAGCACCCAUAUCACAUAAGCCAUGAUAACAAUGAUCUCCUAUUUUAACAGAAAUAACAGGCACGCCUACCACAUGCAUAUGUUUAUCUUUAUCACACGGUUUAGCAAUUCUAGCAGUUUCACCGCAGAACUGAAUAACAUGCCCAUCAAUAUUAUCAGACAAGAGAUCCUUAACAAUAGCAAUAUUAGGUUCUACUUUGACUUGCUCAAGAGGUGUAUAAGUUCUAAUAUUGCUUUUAUGAACAACAGUUGAAGCUUUAGCAUGAUCCUUUAUUCUAACAGGGAAAGGUGGUUUCUCAACAUAAGAAGCAGGAACAAUAGGAUCAUUAUAAGUGACAGUCUUUUCUUCAACUUUAAUAGGUGCAGCUACUUUUACUUCUAUGGGAGGAUGAUAUUUAAACCACUUCUCCUUGGGGAGAUCAACAUAAGUAGCAAAAGAUUCACAGAAAGAAGCUACUAUCUCAGAGUCAAGUCCAUAUUUAGUGCUAAACUUACGGAAAAUAUCGGUAUCCAUAAAAGAUGUAACACAAUCAAACUUAGGUGUCAUACCUGACUCCUUACCUGCGUCGAGGUCCCAAUCUUCAGAGUUGCGUUUAAUUCUAUCCAAUAAAUUCCAUUUAAAUUCAAUAGUCUUCAUCAUAAAAGAGCCAACACAAGAAGUAUCGAGCAUGGUGUGAUUGUUUUCAGAAAGCCGAGCAUAAAAACUUUGAAUAAUUAUUUCUCUUGGGAGCUCAUGAUUGGGGCAUGAAUAUAAUAUUGAUUUAAGCCUCCCCCAAGAUUGAGCGAUGCUUUCUCCUUCGCGAGGCUAAAAAUUAUAUAUAUAAUUGCGACCACGAUGAACAAGAUGCAUAGGAUAAUAUUUUUGAUGAAAUUCCAAUUUCAAUCUUUUGUAGUUCCAUGAUCCCAUACCAUCACAUAGCCUAUACCAUGUCAAUGUGUCUCCCUUCAAAGAUAAAGGGAAGAUCUUCUUCUUGACAACAUCAUCGGGUAUACCUGCAAGCUUAAAUAAUCCACAAACCUCAUCCACAUAUAUUAAGUGUUCAUCAGGAUGCUUUCUUCCAUCUCCUACAAAAGUAUUAGCUAGCAGUUUUUCCAUCAUACCCGAAGGAACUUCAAAAGGAGUUUCAUUUUCAAUAGGUUCAGUAGGUUGGGGAGCAACUCUUUGCUCUACUGGACGGGGUGAAGAUACCCCGAACAAGCCCCUCAGAGAAUUACUUUCCAUAGUAACAAGUGACAGUAAAUUUCAGCACACUAUAUAAAUUUUUCCUUACCAAAUUCCACCUACCAAAGGCGCUACACUCCUCGGCAACGGCACCAGAAAAGAGUCUUGAUGACCCACAAGUAUAGGAGAUCUAUCGUAGUCCUUUCGAUAAGUAAGAGUGUCGAACCCAACGAGGAGCAGAAGGAAAUGAUAAGCGGUUUUCAGCAAGGUAUUCUCUGCAAGUACUGAAAUAAGUGGUAACAAAUAGUUUUGUGAUAAGAUAAAUUGUAACGAGCAACAAGUAACAAGAGUAAAUAAAGUGCAGCAAGGUGGCCCAAUCCUUUUUGUAGCAAAGGACAAGCCUGGACAAACUCUUAUAAUAGGAAAAGCGCUCCCGAGGACACAUGGGAAUAUCGUCAAGCUAGUUUUCAUAUGAUUCGCGUUUGGUACUUUGAUAAUUUGAUAUGUGGGUGGACCGGUGCUUGGGUGCUGUUCUUACUUGAACAAGAAUCCCACUUAUGAUUAACCUCUAUUGCAAGCAUCGGCAACUACAACAAAAGUAUUAAGGUAAACCUAACCAUAGCAUGAGACACAUGGAUCCAAAUCAGCCCCUUACGAAGCGACGCAUAAACUAGGGUUUAAACUUCUGUCACUCUAGCAACCCAUCAUCUACUUAUUACUUCCCAAUGCCUUCCUCUAGGCCCAAAUAAUGGUGAAGUGUUAUGUAGUCGACGUUCACAUAACACCACUAGAGGCUAGACAACAUACAUCUCAUCAAAAUAUCGAACGAAUACCAAAUUCACAUGACUACUAAUAGCAAGACUUCUCCCUUGUCCUCAGAAACAAACGUAACUACUCACAAAGCAUAUUCAUGUUCAUAAUCAGAGGGGUAAUAAUAUGCAUUAAGGAUCUGAACAUAUGAUCUUCCACCAAGUAAACCAACUAGCAUCAACUACAAGGAGUAAUCAACACUACUAGCAACCUACUAGCACCAAUCUCGGACAUGGAGACAAGAAUUGGAUACAAGAGAUGAACUAGGGUUUGGAGAUGAGAUGGUGUUGAUGAAGAUGUUGAUGGAGAUUGCCCUCUCCCAAUGAGAGGAGCGUUGGUGAUGAUGACGACGAUGAUUUCCCCCUCCUGAAGGGAAGUGUCCCCGGCAGAACAGCUCUGCCGGAGCCCUAGAUUGGUUCCGCCAAGGUUCUGCCUCGUGGCGGCGGAGUCUCGUCCCGAAAGGUUGCUUCCUGUUUUUUUCUUGAUGAAAGACUUCAUAUAGGAGAAGAUGGGCGUCGAAGAGCCACCAGGGGGCCCACGAGGUAGGGGGCGCGCCCCAGGGGGGGGGCACCCUCGUGAGCAGGGUGUGGGCCCCCUGGCCUUCAACUUUGGCGACAAUUUUUCUUUAUUUAUUUUAAGAUAUUCCGUGGAGUUUCAGGACUUUUGGAGUUGCACAGAAUAGGUCUCCAAUAUUUGCUCCUUUUCUAGCCCAGAAUUCCAGCUGCCGGCAUUCUCCCUCUUCAUGUAAACCUUGUAAAAUGAGAGAGAAUAGCCAUAAGUAUUGUGACAUAACGUGAAAUAACAACCCAUGAUGCAAUAAAUAUCGAUAUAAAAGCAUGAUGCAAAAUGGACGUAUCAAGGGGGCACCCGAGGUGGGCACAACCCACCUGGGCGCGCCUGCCUCCAGGCGCGCCCAGGUGGGUUGUGCUCCUCUCGGAGCAACCCCGAGAUGCUUUCCUGGCCCACUGGAUGCCUUCUGGCCCAAAAAAAUUCCUCAAGAAGUUUCGCUGCGUUUGGACUCCGUUUGAUAUUCAUUUCCUGAGAUGUAAAAAAACAUGCAGAAAACAGCAACUGGCACUGGGCACUAUGUCAAUAGGUUAGUACCAAAAAAUGAUAUAAAAUGACUAUAAAAUGAUUGUAAAACAUCCAACAAUAAUAAUAUAACAGCAUGGAACAAUCAAAAAUUAUAUAUACGUUGGAGACGUAUCAAGAAUCACUAGGGACACAAUAUUUGUUUAUGUAUCCACACAUGUAUUUAAGCUUCCGAUCAAUACAAUUCUAGCAUGAAUAAGAAACCUUUGUCAUGAAUAAGGAAUAUAAUAAUAACAACUUUAUUAUUGCCUCUAGGGCAUAUUUCCAUCAGACGGGCCAAGGCUCCCUAUGCCGGUUCCGCCCGGGUCAUCUUGUCAGCCCACUGGCCCUCUAGGAGACAGAAUUUGAAGCCUUUCCGUUCAAGAGAAAGAAGUCGGAUCCGUGGCGGACUCCUCUCCACCGACGUUGCCAACUAGGGCCCUUAUAACCCUAGGGCCCCCGAUAUCUUAUAUAAACCAGGUUUGGGCUAGUCGACAAAACAUUUUAGACAUUAUGUACACCCCAGUCGAAAUAUACACAAAGUAGGAGUAGGGUUUUACCUCCAUCAUGAGGACCUGAACCUUGGUAACUCGUUUCUUUCUCCUCCAUCAUAAGGAUACUCUCAGGUAGCAUGGAGGUGGAUGGCUGCUACUGAUCCAGGCAGAGGCAUGGUGGGGCGUGGCGCGGUCCAGUUUCAAGCGUGGCAAGCGGGCGGAUGCAUGCGAGUCCGGGCGUAACGAGAAGGUGCACAUGGUCCAGAUCCGCACGGUGCACGACAAGCUGGGGCUGGCCGGUGUAGUAGGGCGUGACCAGAAGGUAUUUGCGGCCCAGAUCCGCGUGGUGCGUGCUCCUACUGGCGUGUUGCUCACGAAUGUGCACUUUGCGACGUAAUGGAGGAGCUUGACGCAGGAUGCUAAGCGAGUGGUGCGAUGCACAGAUGGCUUGUUAGGGGGGUUUCUCGAGUCCUGGGACUUGGAGGGUGAUGCCGGCGAACGUUGUACUCUUACGAUGGCGCCUUCGAGCCCCUUUUCCUUGUUGGAGGUGUCAAGGUGGCAGUCCUCACUUUUCCUCCCCACGAGCUACGGUGGAAAACCUAGAUCUGUUUUACCGAAUUGGGUGAUGGCAGCGUUGUUAGCUUUGCUUGGUGUUGCGUGCAUUCUCUCUUGAUGGCAUCUUUUCGGAGGUGCCACUCGGAGGGACUUGUGGCUUGUGGAGUUGGCCGGUGACGGCUAGAGUGUUUUCGCCCGUGUUGCAUUGCUUUAUUUGAGGUGUUCAUGUAAUACCCGUUUCUAAUCAAUGUGUUUUUUUUCGCAGGGUUCUAAUCAAUGGUUUUUAUUUUAUUUUUCACUCUCUUUUAAUGCUCUUUUUUUUUUGCGGGAACUCUCUUUUCAUGCUCUGCAACGUGCAAUAUGUACAUGGGGCUGGAGCGUACGCCGUCCACACGCGGGAGGUCGUCGUCUGCCGUCCCGACCGUAUACGUUCUCGCCACGUCAUCGAUCCGCGCGAAAGCUCAUCAUGGUCGUCCAUCCCAAGCAUCACCGAACGGCCGGAACCACUCCACGCCAUCGAUCCGAGGCAUCAUCCUCUCCGCCAACCACAGCCCCUCCUCCCCGCUCCCUACAUAACCUCGCCGCCCCUAUCCGUCUUUGCACACCGCAGCAUCAGCAGCCCGCCUCACAUCCCACCCAAACCCAGCCUCCCCACACGCUCCAACCACCAGCACGCAUGGCACCCAAGGCGGCGGAGAAGAAGCCGGUGGUGGCCGCGGAGAAGACCCCGGCGGGGAAGAAGCCCAAGGCGGAGAAGCGGGCGCCGGCGUCCAAGGAGGCCGGCGGCGAGGGCAAGACGAGGGGCAGGAAGAAGGGCAGCAAGGCCAAGAAGGGCGUGGAGACGUACAAGAUUUACAUCUUCAAGGUGCUGAAGCAGGUGCACCCGGACGUAGGCAUCUCCUCCAAGGCCAUGUCCAUCAUGAACUCCUUCAUCAACGACAUCUUCGAGAAGCUCGCCGGGGAGUCGGCCAAGCUGGCGCGGUACAACAAGAAGCCCACCAUCACGUCCCGGGAGAUCCAGACCUCCGUCCGCCUCGUCCUCCCUGGGGAGCUCGCCAAGCACGCCGUCUCCGAGGGCACCAAGGCCGUCACCAAGUUCACUUCAUCCUAGGCGUUGUCGUUGUUUCAUGAGUUGAUGGCGGCAGGCAUCGUGUAUGUAGUUGGCAGCAGUGUGAUGUUACAAUCUCUGUAAGAAUUGUGCUGCUUGCGGCCCUGAAGAAAUAGUGAUGUUGCUGUUUGAAUCAAUGUUGCUGUGUGCUUGUCUGUCGCUUCAGUGAUAGCUUGUGUGCUUGACUCUCUUCUUGAUGCCAUUUGUUUAUGUCAACAAGUUUCUACUGUGAUAGUUUAUCUAGUUUAAUUUGCUGUCAUUUUAUCUACUGUGAUUGUUUCCAAGUCUGCACAUAGAAACCUCUGAUUUUAAAUCUACAAUCUUUGGAGUUUGUUUUCUUAACCUAUAUACUGUUGCUGCCAUUUGAGUAAAACUGAAGUUGGCGAGCUUUGUUAAUUUCUGACAGAUCUUUCCAAGUUUUUCCCUUAGUGGACUUGUUAUCCAUAUGGCAAGAUGCCAAGAACAGCUUGACCGCUAGUGCUCAGAAAGUCACAAUGCAUUAGAUUCAGAUUAGCUUCUUGAGAUAAAUUAGAGGCUUUUCACAAAAAAAGAAGAAAUAAAUUAGAGGCAGCGCACCCAUGUUUUUUAGAGUCAAGGAGCAAGCUAGAUGGAACCAUCAUCUUUUUAGGAUGGCAUACCUGAGUUUUUUUCUCUAUAUAUGUUUAUACUACAGUAGCUAAUUUUCCUUUGUUCUACUACUACACUUGGUAAUUUGUGAUCACGAAGCCACCAAUUUUGUGAAGGUGCAAAGUUUUUUUCUAUUGAUUCAUUUCUCUAUGUUUAUGUACAUUUGUAUGGAUAUAUGAAUUCUAAGUUACUUGCAUUGGCAAUAACCCUUCACCAUUCGCCAUCUUUGGUUACGGGAGCUGUUCCUCAUUUGUGUUAGAUGAUGUUACUAGAGGCCUCAUGUUACUAUCUUGUAGGAGUUGUGCCGCGUGAAAUAGUACUGUUGCUGUUUAAAUUAAUGAUCAAGGUCUGCUUGCAUGUCACAUCAGAUUCUUUACAUAGAAGUUUUUAGUUUGCACUCUCGAAAUGUUUUUAGUUUGCAUUUCUGUAGUUAGUUCAUGACUUGCUGUUGUCCAGGUUUUGUUAGCAGCUUUCUCAUUUUCUCUACUCAUUUUGGCGCCAUAUCAAAAUUUCAAACCUCUACUGUUGGCGCCAUAUCAAAGCACUUGGACGUCAUGCUGUGAGCCAGCCUGGAGGAAUUGGAACUUUUGGAAGGUGCAGCAAGCACUGCCAGCAACAGAGGCAUUUGAGCUGUGACUGUUGUUGACAGGCAUUCAAACCUUGCGGAUAUCGUAGGGAGUUUGACGGAAUAUUUGCAAAGAAUUGCUAGGUGAAUCAAGGCACCUCAAAUUAUGCUAUUUUAGCUGGGUCCUGUUUGAAUCGUUCUCAUUUCCAGUUUUCUUGAUCUUUAGCAGAUGUGUCAUCCCCCUUCCCCUCUUAAUGCAGAAGCAGAGCUCCUGCUGCCAAAGUCAAAAUAGAUGCAAAAGCCACAAAUGCAGAUGAACCCAUUUUCCAACCAAAAAACAUAGGUCAAAAUGAGAGAAAUGGUUAGAGGGGACUGAAGCUCGACAAACAGAAAAGGUGGAGUGGGAAAAGCCGAUUUGAUUGUCUGAAGGAACAACUUGCGGCGCUAAAGAUGCAGUUGAGGUGCAAGAGAGCCAAUACAACUUGAGGUACGCCCUUAGCUAAAUCCAGUAGUACAAACAACCAAGGCUCCAUGGACAUGAGGCGAAAACAAUCUGGUACAACAAUAUAUGCCUAGGUUGUUUUUUCCGAUAAAGGGUGUUUUCUUACUGACUCAUAAUGUAGCAUGGAGGGAUACAAUCAUAAUUUAUACACAGCCGGCCUCUGCAUAACUAGGAUGCACGCAGCCAACAAACACACGCACUAACCGACCACACCGCCAAAAAGCAAAGCCAUAUAAGACCAAAGCCAUGCCUAUGCAGAGGAAAAAAAACCAAGCAAUAAAAAUAACAAUUGACGAUAUAUAGCAGUGACCAUCGGAGCCAACCAUUUCUUGGCAACACAAGGACUACGAACAACAUAUGCCUAGGUGGAAACCGUGACGUGGGUUUUCCAUUAGUAAGAAAGAGUAAAAACUGGUAAACACUGGUAAACUAAAAUGAACUUCAUAGUGGCCUUGGCCAUGGAUAUUUCUUACAUUGGAGCUGUAAAUCUGGCAGGCGAUGACUAUGCAGAACUUUUUGGCAAAGCUUGCCACCAAAGAGAACUAGGGAUCAACGGGCAUCUCCAUGGGAAUCGUUGGUACAAGUACAUAUACAGUUUGGUGUUCCUGGUCACUUUUUCAGCAAGAUCUUGCAAGAGGUCCGCUAUUUGGACCCUUCUGACUACAAACAUAAUCUCUUUUCUCGACAAUAGAACGAUAACCCAUCACCAGUUUACUGACUUGGAAAAUUGGCAAUCCAUCCAUAACGGCAGCCUGAAACAUGUCUUUGAGCAUCAUUUGCUUAGCUUGGUAGUUUCUACAAGGCAUCCAAGCUUCUGCCUAUUUUUUCUUCUAUCCAGGCAAGUCUCCUCUCAAGUUUUAGCACACUGGCAUGAAUAACCCUAAUAUCAACCUUUGCAAGCUUGGCAAAUGAGUGUACCAACAUGUAAUAAUCAGCGUGUCCAACACAAUCGAGACUACCAGUUAUAUUGUUUUCUUUCUAUAGUGAAGAUAGCCAUCUGAUCUCGGGCACUUCCUUGGCGGCAUAUAACAAAGUCCAUGGUCUUCCAUUUCUGACUUGAUACUUAGUAUCCCUGAUGAUGAUGAAGAAAAGCACCUUGCGCCAACAAAAUUCCAUCUCGACCUCGUUUAUUCACUCCAGUUGUGGUUCUUGUUAAACAUAUUGUAACGUGACAUACAUUGUAACGUAGCAUGUAGCGCCGGCUAGGUUGCUAGGAUCGAUCUCUAUCCUCAUGUAACCGUAGCCUUAUCUCUCCAUCUCUUUCCUUGGUUCACAAGUUGUAAUCCCAACCAAUUGUAUGCGCUAUCCAGGGAGGUGCGCCCCUGUUAUAUUAACACGCAGCGCGUCCCUCCAACGAGGUAAGACGCUUAAGCCAACCUUCACAUGGUAUACAGAGUCUCCCUCUUCCUAUACAUCUAGCAUCCAUCGUUUUCCAUCCACGAGCUCGCCAUGUCCUCCUCCUCCACCAGUGCUCCUCUGGCCGUCCUCAAUGGUCAGGUUACAGAGAAGCUCACCUGGACGAACUACGUCCUCUGGCGUGUGCAGGUCACGCCACAGCUGAUCGGGGCUGGUGUCUUCGGCUAUGCCGAAGGGACAAUCAAAGAACAAGAGAAGUUCAUCGUCACCAAGGACAAAGACGGCAAGGAAUCAGCCUCACCGAAUCCUCUUCAUCAAGUCUGGGUGCGGGAAGAUCAGCAGGUAUUGGCAUAUUUGCUGGUUAAUCUUUCCAGAGAAGUUCUUGUCCAGGUGACCAACAUCCACAAGGCGCACGAGCUCUGGGCUGCGGUGGCGAACAUGUUUUGUCCUAGUCCAGAUCGCGUGUGAACAACAUCCGUGUCGCCCUCUCCAACGCAGAGAAGGGCACAGAGACGGUGGGCGCCUACUUCGCCUAUAUGCGUGGCCUCGCCGACGAGCUAGCAGCUGCUGGCAAGCCUCUAGAUGACGACGAACAGAUCUCCUACAUCAUCGCCGGGAUGGGUAUGGAGUACCAGCCACUGGUGUCAGCCCUCGACGCCCGCACCGACCUGUCACGCUCGAUGAUCUGUUCGCUCAGAUGAGCAACUUUGAUCAGUGCGUGGCGAUGUUCCAAGGCAGCAACGGCAGCGGUUUCAAGUCCUCCGCCAACGCCGCUAUUCGUGGUGGCCGUGGUGGCUCCCGCCACCAUGGUCCGCCGCGCGGCAAGAGCAAAGGAAAUGGCAGCGGCAACUACAGCAACAGCAACGGUGGCGGUGCUCCUCGCACCGGUGCCGGCGGACGGCCCUCCUCCAACAACAAUAGGGGCCGUCGUUCCUCCUCCAGAAUCGCCCCGAUGCUGUCCGCUGUCAUAUAUGCGGAAAGCUGGGCCACUCCGCUAAAGACUGCUGGUACAGGUUCGAGGAAGAUGAAGGUGACUCCUCCCAGGACGAAAAAGUUGUUGGUGCUGCCGAAGCUUCAUACGGUGUAGAUACAAAUUGAUACAUGGAUAGUGGUGCUACAAACCACAUCACCGGUAAGUUGGAGAAAGUAACCAUGCGGGAGAAAUACCGUGGUCAAGACCAUAUCCACACUGCCAGUGGAGCAGGUAUGAGGAUCAAACAUGUUGGUCAUUCAGUUGUUAAAACCCCUUAUCGUCCAAUUCACCUCAGAAAAAUACUACAUGUCCCUAGUGCAUUUAAAAAUCUUCUUUCCGUCCAUCGAAUUGCUAUUGACAAUCAUGUGUUUCUCGAGGUUCGCCCCUUUUUUCUUUUUGAUCAAGGAUCAGGCAACGAAGAAGGUUCUCUACCGAGGUAGAUGUGUUCGAGGGCUUUACCCAUUGGUUCCGGAGUUUAGAAGAUUCAAUAAGCAAGCAUAUGGUGUCACCAAACUCUCAACGACGAGGUGGCACGAUAGACUAGGGCAUGCAUCUUUUUCUUAAGUUGAACGAUUGCUUAGGAAGAAUAAGCUCCCAUAUGUUGGAGAGCGUGAUAUUGAAACCAUUUGUGAUUCUUGUCAAAGAGCUAAAAGUCAUCAGCUACCCUAUCCAAUUUCAACUAGUAUUUCUACCAAACCUUUGCAACUCAUUUUCUCUGAUGUAUGGGGGCCUGCCCCAGUUCAGUUGGUAGACACACAUACUAUGUUAGUUUCAUCGAUGACUAUAGCAAGUACUCUUGGAUCUAUCUUCUUAAGAAACGAUCCGAUGUUUUUCAAGUGUUUCAAAACUUCCAAGCUCUCGUUGAACGAAAGUUUGAUAGCAAAGUUAUUGCUGUCCAAUCUGAUUGGGGAGGGGAGUACGAAAAAUUAAACUCCUUUUUCCAAACUCUCGGUGUCUCUCACCAAGUGUCAUGCCCUCAUGCCCAUCAACAGAAUGGGUCUGCUGAACGCAAGCACGGACACAUUGUUAAGGUUGGCCUUGCCCUUUUAGCUGGCGCAUCCAUGCCCCUUAAAUUUUGGGACGAAGCUUUUCUAUCUGCUGUUCACAUCAUUAACAUGUUGCCUAGUAAAGUCAUCAACAAUGAAACUCCAGUUGAACGACUCCUCCAUACCAAACCAGACUAUGCAUCGCUUCGUGUCUUUGGUUGUGCAUGCUGGCCAAAUCUUAGGCCAUACAAUCAGCGCAAACUUAUGUUUCGAUCAACACAAUGUGUUUUCUUAGGCUAUAGUCCCCAACACAAGGGCGUAAAAUGCCUAGAUGUUCCCACUGGACGCGUCUACAUAUCUCGUGACGUUCUUUUUGAUGAAACCAAAUUUCCUUUCGCUGAUCUACACCCCAAUGCCGGUGCACUCCUUCGCAAAGAAAUUCUUCUUCUACCUCCUAGUCUUGUUGGCGAUCAUGGGGAACACAACUGUAAUGAUCACAUGACUAAUCCUCCUAAUACCUUGGCUGAAUUGUGUGAUGAUGUAGACCAGCACAGCGAAGGCGAUGCAGCAAACAGAUUUGAAAAUAAUGAAGAAACAACCCAAACAGGGUGAUAUUUCAUGUGCAGGGACUUGGGGGACAAAUCUACAUCGGGAUCGGCUCCUCGUCAGGACGACAGGCUAUCUCCUUUGGGAUUCGCCCCGUCUGCAUGCACGCGGGCCGCAGGUGCCAGCGAUCUGCUCGACAGCGACCGCCCCGGCCGCUCCAUCUCGACCACGCGGCGCGCCUCCACCGACCCGGAGCCCUCCUCCGACCCGCACCAAUCACCGACUGCCACGUGGCGGUCUCCAAGUCGCUUCCCCGACUCCAUCCACUGCUAUGCGCGGCGUCAGCACCAACCGAUCGGCGCGGGCUCCCAUGAGCCAACCGCCACAGGCGCUGCGGCUCUGACGCACCCACCUGGUCCGGAAUCUGGCGCCACCCCAUCUGCUCCUCGGGAUGCCGCGACGCCCGGAUCUUCUGUGCUGCACCGCGCUGCUUCGUCACGCCCUUCAGCCGCAGACAAUCCUGAUCCAGAGGCGCCUGCUCCAGGGGGAUCUACUGCAUAUUCUCUAGGAUCUUCUGCGAUUGCUGCUGCUACAGCGCCUGCUACACCACCUCGGACACAUCUCUAAAGAGGGGUAACUCAACCUGUUAAUUAUAAAAAAAAUUCUCAAGUAUGGUCUGGCAUGUUCCACAGGUGAACCACAGUCUUUGCAUGAGGCACUUGGUGACACACGUUGGAAACAAGCUAUGGAUGAAGAAUACAAGGCACUUCUGAAAACAACACCUGGCACUUAGUUCCCCCACAACAAGGUAAAAAUCUCAUUGACUGUAAGUGGGUCUUCAGGAUCAAAAAAAGGUCUGAUGGAACUAUUAAUCGCUACAAAGCUCGACUUGUUGCAAAAGGCUUCAAGCAACGGUAUGGUUUAGAUUACAAGGACACCUUUAGUCCUAUUGUCAAAUUUGCAACUAUCCGCUUGGUUCUGUCUAUUGUUGUAUCCAGGGGAUGAACUCUCAGGCAGCUAGAUGUUUAGAACGCGUUUCUCCAUGGUGUUCUGGAAGAGGAAGUAUAUAUGAAGCAACCUCCUAGGUUUGAAAACAAGAACACUCCCUUUCAAGUCUGCAAACUUGACAAAGCACUGUAUGGGCUCAAGCAAGCCCCCGGGCCUGGUACUCACGACUCAGUCAGAAAAUGCAGUCACUUGGCUUUAUUCCAUCCAAGUCUGAUACAUCCUUGUUCAUAUACAAUAAGUCAAACACGGCUAUAUUUGUGCUUAUCUAUGUCGAUGACAUUAUUGUUACCAGCUCAUCUAAUGAUGCAAUGACAGGAUUGUUAAAGGACUUGGGUGUAGAAUUUGCACUCAAAGACCUAGGAGAUCUGCACUUCUUCCUAGGCAUUGAAGUCAAGAAACUUGGAGAUGGACUGCAUCUCUCUCAGGAGAAAUAUGUCAAUGAUAUUGUUAAAAGAGUUGGACUGCAAGGAUGUAAGCCAUCACCAACCCCUUUGUCUAAUACAGAAAAAUUGUCUAUUACAAAAGGAGAACUCCUGAAUCAGGAAGAUAGCACUAAAUACAGAAGUCUGGUAGGUGCACUUCAGAACUUGACAAUUACUAGGCCAGAUAUUUCAUUUGCCGUUAACAAAGUUUGCCAGUUUCUUCAUGCACCUACUACAAAUCAUUGGACUGCUGCAAAGCGUAUAGUCAGAUAUGUGAAAGCCACUAUGAAUGUUGGUCUUAGCUUUAACAAGUCUUCAUCUACCCUUGUUAGUGCCUUCUCAGACUCUGAUUGGGCAGGAGAUAUUGAUGAUAGACGCUCAACUGGUGGCUUUGCAAUACUUUUUGGACCUAACCUCAUAUCUUGGUGUGCAAACAAACAGGCCACUGUCUCAAGAUCAACCACAGAGGCAGAAUAUAAAGCAUUAGCAAAUGCUACAGCUGAGAUAAUCUGGGUACAGUCCAUGCUCAAGGAACUUGGUAUAAGACAGAGUCAAGUUCCUUGUCUUUGGUGUGACAAUCUUGGUGCCACGUAUUUGGCUGCUAAUCCUGUCUUUCAUGCAAGAACAAAACAUAUUGAGAUAGAUUUCCACUUUGUUCGAGAAAGAGUUGCUAACAAAGACUGGAGAUCCGUUUUGUUCAUUCCAGAGAUCAAGUUGCAGAUAGAUUCACCAAGGCAUUACCAACAAGGAAUUUUGAAGAAUUCAAGCGUAAUCUCAACUUGACCAAGUUGUGAUUAAGGGAGGGUGUUAAACAUAUUGUAACGUGACAUACAUUGUAACGUAGCAUCUAGCGCCGGCUAGGUUGUUAGGAUCGAUCUCUAUCCUCCUGUAACCGUAGCCUUAUCUCUCCCUCUCUUUCCUUGGUUCACAAGUUGUAAUCCCAACCAAUUGUAUGCGCUAUCCAGGGAGGUGCGCCCCUGUUAUAUUAACACGCAGCGCGUGCCUCCAAUGAGGUAAGACGCUUAAACCAAUCUUCACAGUUCUUAUUUCCUCCAUGUGUGCUUUUGGAUUCUCAUCCUACAAUGCAACAGAUUUAGCCAUCAAGUCAACAACAUCACCCCCAAAAGAAAUGCAGCAAAUCCUCAAGGUACUACAUUGUACAAAUUUUAAGCACAAAUAUGCUGCGAACAAAUAGAGAUUUUUUACAAUUAAUAAUUGUUUUUCUAUUUAUCUUUUAAUUUUAUAAUUUUGUUGUUUCUCAAAAAGAAACCCAGUUGUGUUUGGUUUCUAGAAUCAUUUACGUUUUCUUUCAUGCUGAUUUUGUUCCUGAAAUAACAUUCAUAGAUAGAAAUUGUUAGUGGUUUGUACCCAAGGUUUAGAAAUUCUGCAUUCGUAGAGAUUAGAAGUUCAAAAUAAAUAUAGUAUGUGAUUAGAGUAAAAUAGAAAACUCUAUCUGAAUAGCAACUUUAUUGUUUUUAAGCUUUUAAAUUUAUAACAUGCAGUUGCUCAAAAUAAAACAAAAUAUUAUUCAAACCAAUUGUGUUUGGUUUCUCAGAUCUUUUGCGUUUUUUUGUUCUGAUUUUGUUCCUGAAAUAGUAUCCAUACAUAGAACCUUGUUAAUGGUUUGCACUAAAGGUCCAGAUCGAAAGGCACUAGGCACUAGGCACUAAAGGUCCACGCGUUUUGUGAUAAUUCAUGAUGAAUAAUUCCAAUAAAGUUUAAUUAUUUUUAAUACCCAAAAUACAUUUUCUUAGUAUGCGAAGAACAUUUUUAGUACAUGGUCUUUUUUAAAAACACGUGGAUUAUCGUUAGUGAAAUAUAAAUAUUUUGUGCACACUAUAAACAUUUUUUAAAAAUAAAGUAUUGUCAUUUUCAGUAAAUUGUAAAACAUCCUUGAUAUACAUCAAAUAAUUUUUAACAAAGAAGUUAUUCUUUAAUACACAAAGAAAAACUUUUAAAUAAUUAGCUAAUAUUUUUCUAAUAUGUAAUAAAAUAAUUAAUACAUGUCGAGCCUUUAUAAUACGCAUGCACAUUUUUAAUACUCCCUCCGUUCCAAAAUGUAGUGCAUACAGUUUUCUUUUUGGAAAAGUCAAAGUUUACAAACUUUGACUAAAUUUAUAGAGAAGAAUAUUUAUAUCUAGAAUACCAAAUAUAUAAAAUACUCCCUCCGUCCAAAAAUAACUAUCGCUCAAACGAAUGUAUCUAGCACUAAAAUACAUCUUGAUACAUCCUUUUGAGCAACGGUUAUUUCUGGACGGAGGUAGUAUGAGACUACAUCUUAUGAUGAGUAUAAUGAUAUAUAUGUUUGGCAAUCUAGAUGUAAGUGUUUUUCUUUAAAAAAUAGGUCUAAGUUGGUGAGGUUUGACUUCUCAAAAAAUCUAUAUGCAGUACAUUAUGGAACGGAGGGAGUACAUGAAAAAACAUACUCCUAUCUCAAAGCAUGGGGACCAUUUUUUAGAAAGUGAUUUCAUAAAUGGUAUGGGGAAAGGAAAAAAGAAAUAAACAGAAAAAACAGGAGAAAGGAAACCCCAAAAGGGAAAACAAUAAAUGUAUAAAAAGAAAAAGGAAUAGAAAAGUAAAUAUGAAAGAAAAACUAAAGUGAAAGAAACAGGAAAACAAGAAAAAAAAGGGAAACAAGAGUUAAACAGAAAAUAUAUGCACAUAAACCACCCAUCCCAUAGGAAAUAGAGGCAAAACGAGGGAGGCAAACCCCCAUACAUUACCCGAGCCAUGACCCAUGUCGAGAUUGCUAGAGGCGAGUACAUGGUAUAUCUAGCAAUAAGCUAGAUAUUCUUUGUAAAAACAAACAACCAAUUGAGAACCGCUGCCAAUACAUAACAGAGCGGCUCCGGGCCUCUUUAUUAUGUAAAAACAAACACCAAUUUUUUUAUGUGAAAACGUGAACAUUAUUAGAAUUUGUCAACACUUUUCUAAAACGAGAACAUGUGUUGAAAAUAAAACAUCUUUAGAAAAUGUGUAUCUUUUAUACACGAACAUUUUUUUUAAUUUUGAAAAUUUCACCAAACAUGAAUAUUUCAAAUUUGGAGAAUUUUUUGGAAUGUCAUUUUCUAUUUAGAAAUCUCAAACAAUUUUGAACAAAAAUAAAUGGCUAACUUUUUGCAAGUUCCGAAUAUUUUUCAAAAUAGUAACAAUUUUUUGAAAUUCUGAACAUUUUGCCAAUUGUGAAGUUUUAAUUUACGAAAUAAAUUCAAAAAUAAAAAUAAACUUGGAAGAGGAAAAACAGACAGGGAAAGGAGAAUAAAAAUAGAAGUAAAACACAGAAAAAAAGAAAAAUUGGCAGCCCAUUAUUGGAUGUCCUGUGCGAAACUCCGACUAUUUCUCGCACUAUGCAGAAAAUAUAUUAUGUUCCCAACUGCGUGGGAAGAAAAAUAAGUGUGUUGGCUUCGCCGGGCCACAAUGUGCGGUCCACGUAAGAAUUUGUUUUUUCUAGCAGACAAACAUAUAAGAAUUUAGUACCACCUCGGGUAGAAAAAAAUACUUUCAGCGGUGAACGGAUGAAAAAUUAUAUAGUUUUGUGAAAAGAACAUAUUGCAUCACCAUAUUCAAAUCUUUCAUUUUGCCUUUUUCCCAAAUUUUCCGAAAAUAAAUUAAUAUUUGUGGAUUGAAAAAUAUUUUUAAAACAUGAACAAUUUUUAAAAUACCGAAAAGUUUUCUGAAAAUUUCGUUCAUUUUGGACAAAGGUGAACACCAUUUGAAAUAGGGAGAUUUUUUUAGACUUCACAAACAUUUAUCGAAAACAUGAACCUUUGAAAAAGCACUAAGGUUUUUUUAAUUUAGGAUUUUUUUUUAAUAGAAACAUGUUUUGAGCAUUUAUAACAAUCUUUGAAAAUGUAUUUAUUUUUAACCACUGUCGUUAUUUUGAAUUUGUGAACAUUUCAUUAAACAAGAAUAUAUAUCAAAUAUGGAACAUAUUUUAAAAAUCCAAUUUUAUUUCGAAAAUCCCAAUUUUUUGGGAGAACACAAUUUUUUUGAAAAAAUGGAACCUUUUCUCAAAUCCAAUUUUAUUUUGAAUACCUGUUUUUUGGAAAACAUAAACAUUUUUUAAAAAUUUGGAUUGUUUUUGUAAUUUUGAACAAAUUUGGAAUGAAUUUUUUUUCCAAGUUUCGAACAUUUUUAAGAACAGGAACAAAAGUUCGGAAAUCGGAAUUAUUUUCUAAAAAUUGAAAACACAAAUCUUAAUUCUGUUGUUUAAAUGUAUUUAAGGAAAAAACUAAAAAAUUCUAAAGUUUGCAGGAAAAGGAAAAAAGAAAUAGAGAAAGGAACAAAAAACAAAAUAGAAAUAAGACACAGAAAAAAAGAAAACGGUCUGGCCCAGCUUUGCGCCCUGUGCGAAGGUCAGACUAUUUGUCGCCGCGUGCGGUAAAUAGGGUUUUCCUAACUGUUUGCGCUGGGAAAUAAGUGGGCUCGCUUGGACGGGCCACAACGUGCACGACCCAUGUAUGAAAAUUACGUUUUCUUUUCUAGCAAACGGACGCACACAAAUUUAGUAGCACCUCGGAUAGGGGAAAAACUUUUCGGCGGUGAACGGAUGAAAAAAUUGGAGAAACGCACCUUAUUUUAUUAGUAGGUAUAGAUAUAGAUUAAAGCCAUGACGAGCUCGGCGUACUUUCGCUAUGAUGUUGCCUUCGGUGCAUCUGAAUUUCAAAUGCCAUCUUGUUUCCCGAUUGAUGAAGUCCACUCUCCGAACCAACUCCCAUCAUUGUCUUUUAAGAGCAUCUCCAAUGGACCCCAAAGACGGGAAGGGAGGGAGGGGAGGGGGUACUGAACGGUUUUUACUAGGCAUGAUCUCCACAAUGAUGCAACCUCAACCCCUCUUAAUAGCGCGACUUUCCUAAUAUUUAAAUAAACCAAAAAAUCAGUCAUCGACAAAUCAGCACAUUUUGAGCGAGGGGGAGGGGUGCACCAUCUCGUUCCUUUUCAUCAACGCUUUUAGUCCUACUAAACAUAUCAUCACAACAAAAUACAAUUAGGGUCUAUAUGCACUCUCAAAACUAUUUACUUUCCUUUUUUUAGUUAGAUGCACACAACAAAGAAAUAUAUUAAGAUAAAUACAUGUACACAUUGAUGGGUUUUGUGUACUAAUAACAACCACUUGGCUGGUUUCGUGUUUACAAACUCAUCUUUUCAGAAUCGUUUUCCUCCUGUCCCUGGCGGCUGGAACCCUAGCCGCCGCCAGGAGAGCCCAAUCUUUCGGCGCCGUCCUCCAGCGGCUCCCCUCCGCCGGCGACCUCGGUCGUCGGUGGUGGUGGGGGGGGGGGGUCGCCGGAUCCACGCGUGUGGAUUGUUUUUACUCCCUCGUAGUUUAGGUUUUUAGGCUGUUCAUCGUCUUUGCUUCGGCGGCACGAUGACAGCGCUGAAUAAAGAUUCUUCGGAUCCUUCCUUGACAAGGCCAUGGGUCCUAUGGUUGGGGAUGGAUUUGGAAACCAGUCGGUUCAAGCAAGGAUGGCGUGGCGGCGGCGGUAUCCUCAUGGUGGACCUGUGUCCUCGGGCUCCGCCAUUGCGACGAUGUUUGCUCCAGCAUCGGCGCGGAGCUUGGGAGGUAGUCCAGGAGCGGAUGCAGAUUGUGGUCUGCAUCGACGACAUCUGGAAGACGGAACAUGUGCUGGGUUCGUGGUUCGUGGAUGGCAGGUAUGGUUUCCUUCUGCGGCGUCUUAGUCGCGGUGGGGUGCCAGAUCUGGAGUUCGAUAGCGUGUCCGGGGUGUUGCCCCGGUCUGAUUCGUUCAACAAUAAGGGCUUCACUUUUGGUGAGCCACCUUGGAGGUCCGCAAAGCUGCAUAUCAGCGAUGAAACCGCGUCGAGCUCGGGUGAGGAGGUGAUCCAUCAUUGUUUUCUUCGGUGCCUAUUGUUGUGGUGCCGGAGGCAGGUGGUGGGCGUUGGUGUCAAGCUCAAAGAUGUUCUGCUAUCUUUUCAGUUUUGUCAUGUCGAUCCUUACGUGACUUGUACUUAAAUCUUUAUGAUAUGAAUAAGACAUGUAUUACCUUGCAAUAAAAAAACAUUUUUUCAGUGAACAAACAUACAUCGCUUUGGCGGCUCAGCGUUCUUAUAGACAUUGCAUAGCAGCGUCCGGUUGUGCCUGGGCAAGCUACAUCUUGCUUACUGUGAGACAAAUCGUUGUGUGCCGACUCAUUUAAGAGGAUUUCAUAACCCUCCGUGGGAGGGCUGGAUUAGUUUUAGGAACCUUCUGGUUGGUUUUCUGUCCAUUUUUUCUCCUUCUCUAUGUUUUUUCUCUACUGGUUUUCAUCGGUUUUCUUUCUUUCUUUAUAUUUUUGUUUUCUUCACUUUUUCCUUUUUUUCAAAUAUAUGUCGACUUUUGGUCGAUGUACGCUGAACAUUUUCAGUACAUAGGUUGAACAUUGUUCACAUACUCCUUGAUUUUUUUUAAAUCUGCAUUGGAUAUUUUUUCUGUUUGAUCUAUUUUUCUCCUUUUCGUUUUUAUGUAUUUAUUUUUCAUUUUCAAAUAAAAUUUUAGAUAUUUGAUCGGAUUUUUAAUCAAAUGUGUCUUGCAUUUUUCCUCAAUGUAUACAAGGUUAUAUAUCAUAUCAACAAUUGUAUUUAGAUGGCUAUGCAUAUACCAAAGAAUUAACCCAAAAGAAAAUCUCGAGAUAGAAUCAAACUUCUAAACUGUUCUCUAUCUUUUCUUUUCUUGAACGGGAAUCUGUAAACAACUAUCUGAUCUUCGAAUCGAACAAAACUUUCAACGGGGAAAACCAAAGGAAGAAAAUGAAAUGAGAGAAGCAGAGAAAUGAUAAUACGAUGGAGGGCUUGGACUAGGUCGGCCUGCUACGUGUUGGGUGCAGCUGCAGGUCCAAUACACAUAGAUUGAAGGCCCAAUGCCCACAAAAAUUCAUACUAAUCAAUCUCUAGGCGUCCGCAUCGAGACGAUGGGGGUAACAGGGGAGUAAGAUACAGUCAUAUAGAAGACAUGUCUAAGGUUCAGUUCACAAAAAGGGUGGGCAAACAAAAAUAUGAGAAUAAAAUUCACGAAAUAUUGAAGAAACCAUAUUAGCAAAUAUGUCCUCGUGUUUGCUUUUUUUCUUAAAUUAGUAAGAUGCAAGGUUAGAAGUUGAUGUGCAUUGGUAUGCUUAGCUGUAUUCUGAUGAUAGCAUUUGACUUUGAGAGCAGAGUUACAGUUGGGGCAAAAUGUAAAAGAGAAAGGGGCAAGAGGGAUACUUAUUACUCCCUCCGUCCCAUAAUGUAAGACGUUUUUUGGCACUAUGUGAAACCUCUGACUAUUUCACCGUUUUACUGAGAUCAUUACCUGUUAUUUUCUCCACAGUGGUAACUUUGUAAAAAAAAACUUUGUUUUCUGAAAAAGGUGUUUUUUAUAUUGAUACAUGAAGCGCAGCAUCGACUUGAUUAUUUAUCCAGCAAUGUUUGCCCUCCUGUGUGGCAAGCAUUCUUCUACAGUAGCAUCUUGAUUUCUCAGUAAGUACCUGUUUCUCAGUCCAAAAGUAAUUCUGGUAUCUCAUUUCCUAAUUGUUUCUCAUGUCUGUUAGGUACAUCUGACUACAUGAUUUUGUCAUUUGCCUUGUCAUGUUUGUAACUCAGGAGUAUCUAAUUUAGUACAGUCAUCUGACUAUCCAAUGUUAAUAACAAGAAGCUGACAGUCUCUGAAGCAAAGGAUGGAUUGCAGCCAUGGAUACACAAGAGAAGAUGAUUGAAAGGAUUGCAUCUUUAGCCAUUCCGGACAUAAAUCAGAGAUAAAUUACAGCGCCCAUCUACCGGCUUGUUCAUCGAACUAAUGUAACAGCCACUACAGACUUAGGCAAUUACACACAGGAUCCAACCAACCAAAACUCAUCAUCCUCUCCCUGAUAUGGACCUAAGCAAUGUCACGACAGUAGUCUAUGGGCGGGCUACUCCUUGGCGGCGACCUUCUUCUUGGGGGACUUGGUGGAGGUCUUCUUCUUGGGCGACUUGGCCUCCUUCUCGGCGGCGGCGGGGGACUUCUUGGGGAGCAGCACGGAGUUGAUGUUGGGGAUCACGCCACCGUGGGCGAUGGUGACGCCAGCGAGCAGCCUGCCGAGCUCCUGGUCGUUGCGGACAGCGAGCAGCAGGUGGCGCGGGAUGAUGCGGGUCUUCUUGUUGUCCUUGGCCGCGUUGCCGGCAAGCUCCAGCACCUGAGAUUCAAAAAAGAAAUCUGUCAGUUAUCCGCCGAGCAGGAGAAGAACAGAGCAGAACAGGUGCUCGUGGACGGGAAAGAUCGGCGCAUACCUCGGCGGCGAGGUACUCGAGGACGGCGGCGAGGUAGACGGGGGCGCCGGAGCCGACGCGCUGGGCGUAGCGGCCCUUCUUGAGGUAGCGCCCGAUGCGGCCGACGGGGAACUGGAGCCCGGCCUUCACGGAGCGGGUCACCGCCUUCUUCCUGUCGCCGCCCUUCCUUCCGGCCAUCUUCUUGCUUGCUGCGUCUCCGGCGAGCUGGAAACUACUCGAGAUGCGUGGGCGGCGGUGCGCGCUGCUCUGUGUUUGUGGGUUGGUACGCCAGCGAGGGCGCGGCUUUUAUUGGGGAGGUGGCUUCGGCGGGACGGCGGCAGGGGGGAGCGAUCCGCGUGACGCAGUGUGCCUGCCGUUGGAUCUGCGGGGAGUGGGCGGUGGGGAUUGGUUUGGGGGUGCGAUCCGGGGGAGGGUCUGACCGCCCAAUCAGAGCGCAGGGAUUCAUCACGAAGGGAUUUUGCUUUAAUUAACACCUGGUUUUCGUUUCGUUUUGGGCACCAUUUAGGGUUUUUCUUCACUCUUAUCUUGCAUCUAUUUGGUUUUUCAGAUGUAGCCCUUGCUUAUAUUAUGUAUGUAUAUCGUUGUUUUGCUGUUAUCUAACGAUUGGAUUGGAUCCAUGUACAAAGGCCCCAAAUUAGAUUUGGUAUAUAUUCCCCAAAUUCCAAUCCGGUUGUUUGGGAUGCACACGAAAUAGUUGUCCGAAAUGGAGCGAAUACAUGCAUGAAAUCGCUCACACGUCUCGAGGCCUCCCACGUUUUUGUGCUCUCCCGCUCCAAUUUGGCUAGAAAUCAUCCUCGUGCAAAGGAUAACGAUUUAUCCCUUCUUUUCCCCACCGACGGCGGCACCCGGGUAACCCCCACUCGCCGGCCCUCCUCCUACUACUACUCCGGGACCUUAAUCCCCGACGUCGCGGCUCGUUCUCGUCCUCACAUGCCCCCCAUCUCCUCCUCAUAUAGCCUCCACGGCCUCGACCUAGCCGUCUGUCGUGGCUUCUCCUCCAAUAUUAGAAGUACAAAAAUGACGUGAUUUUAAUGAGAGUAAUUAUCCUCACAAUUUGUGUCCCAAGUAAAUUGGCAAUGAUAGAACGGAUCCAAAAAAUUAGAAAGAGGAAGAAGAGCUCCAAGAAUAACCUUAAGAACAAAUCUUGGGAAGCGUGUAAGGAUGGGCCUUACUAUCCCAAGAACCUCCAUCCCCUCCACUAAGGUAAAAUAUUUCAAUUUCACUAGCUUAUUCUAGCAAAGUUGUGUCGGGUGCAGGUUUGUGUGAAGGGUAUGACCGCGUCCUAUCGUACCUCUGUUAAUUUUUUUUUCCAAUGCCAAGCGACUCGGUACGAGCACAAGCGCUAAUGCGAUGGGCCGUCUUCUUCUUUGAAUGGAGCCAAUGCCUUUCACGACAUGGUACGACCUAGUUAGACCAUCGGUACGAGCACUCAUACCAUAGGCCAUCCUCCCCUCUUACUACAAAACUCUAAAAAAAUAUAUCUUUUUCACUUGUGCUGGAACCCUAGUUAGAGCACCGGUACGAGCCCGACCGCUUCGACUGGAGGUUGUGUUUCUCUCUAGAAAUUAAUAUUGUUUUUGCCGGAACCCAGUACAUGCACAGGUACGAGCACCAGCGCUCGACCCGACCUCGUCUUUUUCUCUGGUUCCGUGAUAACUUGCAAAUUCUCUAGGAUUUUGCCUUGUUUGUUUCCUAAUCUUCUUUAGUUAUCCAUGUCUCAUGAAACCCUGUGGUUAUGCCCUAAGAGGACCACCGGCGGAUUAUUGACCCAAAUUUUCAUUUCCAUCAUCGAACAUCUUCUCUAUAGGCGGUUAUGCCCUAUUAAAGAGUCGUACCUCAGAUACUAAUUGGAAGGAUCGACGCGAUCGACUAGAGGGGAUGAACAGGAGACUACAAUUGUAAGCUUAUCUUCUAUUUUUAGGGAGUUGUAGAUAAUGUAGGUUCUAUAUAUGUGCAACUAGGUGAACACAACCUAUAUGAAAAGCAAACUCAAAGCAAAUUACGCUAGGCAACAAUCUAAUUAGCAAGCCAACAAGCAUGCAAAGCAAGUGAACGAACGGGAAAGAUUAACCAAAAGUGGGUCGAGGAUCGUAUUUUAUACCGAAGUUCACAGCAUUCCCAAAGCCGAAGCCCCGAAACGCCACCACAUGGCUCACUUACACAACUUUGAGUCACCCCCAACGGAUGAGUCUCGAAUCACAAGGGGUUGGUCUAGAAGGCGACCACCACACCUUUACAAACUUCUCUGGAGCACACCAAACACAAGGACGCUUCUGGAGAAAACUCUACCACCUAGGAGCCCAAACUCCAAGAGUAUCAAGUGAUAAGAAAAUCGAGUGGGGAACACAAAUCAGUUUGGUAGAAAUGUAGAUCGAGCCUUGCUCUCCCAGAUGCGAACACAUUGGAGUAUUUGGAGGGAUUGAGAGUAUUAGAAAAAUGGAUGUUAGCAAUGCUGGAGCAACUCUCAAGACAUUAUAGUUGGGUUGGAGGAAGAAGAAGUUGUUAUUUACACUCCUUCAACAAAUCUAGUCAUUGCCCUCCCGGAGGUCCCCGUGCGCACGAGGUCACCCGAGGGAAUGCCACAGACCCCGUGGGCAGGAGGGGUCAUAGACACCAUGCGCAUGGGGUAUACAGAGGAUUUGCACUCGACCCAAGUGGUGUCAGGGGCUCGUGCACAUGGGGGGUCCAGAGAAUCAACCCUGGACCCUGUGGGCACGUGGUAGGAUGACAAAUAACAAAUUUAUGAUGAGUUUUCUGGUAUUUUAAGGAUGUAGCAUAGGGAAGGCCGGUGUAGGAGUUUGUUAUGUUCCCACGUUUUUUCCAAGCACCUUUACCACUCUUAAUGGUGUGGCUUCCCUAGACUAAAAUAAAGCAAAAUUAAAGCUUUGAGUCAUCGGAAAACCAUGUAUUUAUCCUUUUUUGAAGUGUGUGUGUGGGGGGUCAACUUUCUCCUCUUAAUAAUCAAUUGAGUAGCCAAUGACGUGAGAUAAUAAUAUAACAACCAUAAUUAGUUCCACUAACCAUGGUGUCAUUAGACGAAAAUACUCCCUCUGUCCCAAAUUAGUUGUCUUGCUACAAGUCCAUCUGACAACUAAUUUGGAAUGGAGGUAAUAUCAUUUGGAGAUAAAUGCACAUUCAGCAUUAAUUACCAAAAUGCAUGACUGUAAAGGCAUCAAUGAUUAUAGGUCGGUCUCUUUGGUCAGCAUGCCCAUGAAAUUUGCCACUGAACUCAUGGCUAACAUAGUACAAAAGGAAAUUAUUCAUGUGAUGCAUUAGAACUAUAUGGUUAUAUCAAGGGGGAAAAUCCAAGAUUGCCUAGGCUAGGCUUUUGAAUAUCUACACCUUUGUCAGUUAUCCAGAAAACAAUUCUCAUACUCCAGUUGGAUUUUGAUAGGGCAUUUGAUAAAGUUAAGUACAUUUGUAUACUGUCUAUGCUGCAUGAAAAAGGUUUUAGACCUAAAUGGCUUAGAUGGGUUGAAGCAUUUUUAUACUUUGCCACUACCUCAAUCAAUGGGGUACCUACGAAAGUUAUUCAUUGUAAGAGGGGCAAUAGGAUGACCCUCCACCCCCUUCUAUAUGUGCUAACAACUGGUUUAUACAAUUUUUCAUAAAUGAUGCUUGGCACAAUGGUGAAAUCAACCUACGUCGACUAUCCAAUGUCCAGGAUUACCCUAUUGUUCAUUAUGCAUAUGAUAAGCUCUUAAUCAUGCCUGCUGACCAUCACAACUUGUUGGAACUCAAAGAUAUCUUGACCAAAUUCAGCUUCUCUACUGGAUUGUAUGUGAAUUAUAGUAGAUCUUCAUCAGUGCCCAUCAUUGUGGAUCGUCAAACUUGCCACAAAUUGCAAAAAUGGACGUAUUACAAAAGCAUUGCCAUGUACCUAUCUCGGAAAUUGCUAAGAUUGACUGGAGAUUGGCUCGCAUAUCGACUCCUAAUUCAUAUUCAUGUAGACUAACAUAUAUCAACUCCGACAUCACCUCAAUGUUUGUGUUUUGCAUGUGUACCUUCAAGAUUCCCAUUACCAUACUUCAAGAUUGAGAGAAACCAUGUAGGAGAUUUCUUUGGAACAAAUUGAUAUUAAUAAAAGAGGGAGAUGUCUCGCCAAUAGGAAAAAUAUAUGGAGACCAGAUGACCAAGGUGGUUUAGGAGUCCUAAAUCCAAGGGCAUAAAUAAUGCAUUACUCAUGGAAACUAUUCACAAGAUGCACACGCGUGAAGACAUUUCAUGGGUCAAUCUACUUGGGAAGUAUACUAUGAUAAAAGGAUUGUCCCUCAUGCUACUAAGAAGGAUCUUUCUGUUGGAAGGAUUUCCUAACAUGGACUUAUACAGAAGGAUUGCUUCCUGCAAUGUUGGUAAUGGUAAAACUAUGUUGCUUUGGAAAAACAUAUGGAAUGGCGACAUUAUGCCGAGAAAAUCCCCACAAUUGCAUUAUUUUGCUUGGAAUGAAAACAUAUCCAUGGAGCAUUUGGUUGCAAAGAAAUGGGCAGAUCUUUGGAAUUAUUCAACCCAGUAUCAACUCCCGUAUUGAAUUCAGACUUUGUUCCUUUAUUAUUCAUAGAGCUGGGCCUAGUCUUAGAGAAGGCAUGCAAUCAUGGUUGGAUUCUUUUAAACUUACCCUAUGGACUUUGACACCACAUGUAUAUUAGUACAUUACCACCAUCAUUUAUAAAUAAAUAAAUAAAUAAAAUGGCACAGUAGGGGUCUUCCCUACCAUUUUUUCUCAGAAAAAGGAAUGAAACCUCCAAGGGCCUCUUUGAUUCAUAGGGUUGUAAAAACAUGGGAAUAGGGAAAAUAUAGGAUUGACAUGACAUGACCAUCUCAAUCCUACAAGAUUUUGGUUUAUUUGAUUGCAUCAUAGGAAAACAAAGAAUUAUUUUAAAGAUGCUUGAGUGGAUGCUAGAAAUCCUAUGGGAAGUAGUACAAAGAAAUUGUUAGGAAGAAACUCUAUGGGAUUCAAUCCUAUGAAUCAAAUAACAAACAUAUGAAAAGUUCCUAAGGAUUAUAAUCCUCCGAAGUUCCUACGAAAAUCCUUUGAACCAAAGGAGCCCUAACUAUUUUCUAUCUUUUAUUUUCUAGAAUAGGAAUUUCUAAAUUGUUAUUCGAUCUCCCGAACGAACUAAAAUUUCAAUAGGGGAAAAGGAAGGAAGAAAACGAAAUGAAAGAAGCCGAAAAACGAGAACAUGUUGGUUGGCCUGUACCAUGUCUACUUGAGAUGCGUUGGGUCUCAAUACACACAUGUUGAAGGCCCAGUGCCCCCCCUGAUGUUAAACCAUCUCUAUGUGUAUGCAUCGAGGCGACGGGGUUAAGGCCAUAAGGAGGAGCUACGCCCCUUAAGAUACAAUUAUACAAACUUACAAAUAACAUUAGUAAGGUUCAACUCACGGGAUUCUGGGGAAAAGUAGGAUCACACAGGCGAUCAAAGGAGGCGACGAGGUCGGUUCCCUUGCGCGCCGCCGGUGGCGCUGCCAGUUCCCUCUCUCUCCUUCGGCCGCUCCGACGGCGGGAGGGAGGGUGAACUUCGGGUCUGUCCGCUAGGUGGGUGUGUGGUAGGGUUAGGGUUGAGGGUGACGCUGUCGAGGCUGUUGCGGUGGUGUCACGUCGGAAGUUUCUCCGGGCUCUGUUCGCGGUCAGGCGAGGCUUUUGCCUUCGUCUAGGAGCCAGCGGGGUGGGGUUCCCCGGAUCUCGUCGAGGUUGCGGGCUAUGGUGAUUGGAGGUCCAUCUGCACUGGCCGUUUGGGUCCUCAGAUGGGUGAUGGAUGCAGGGAGACAAAGACCCUUCUUCUUCCUUGUCGGUAUGAUUUGCUGCUGUUGUUCUUCUCCUUCCCUUGCGCUGAUGCUGAAGAGAGAUCCUGCUUUGCCCGGGCGGAUGGCCCGGCUGCGGUGCUAGACCGGUCGGAUGACUUGAGUUCUCUUCCUUUCGGAAGGGACAUUUUUCGUGGUACUCAAAGCCAAAGAUGGCGACGGCUGUUGUAGGUGUGUUGGGUUGAUGUACAUGCCCUCUCAGCGCUGGUGUCAAGAAAGGAGGAAUCAGCGUGGCGGCAAUUGUACCGUGGUCGAAGAUGAUGAUCUGCUUGCGCCUGGUUGCAUGUCCUUCUGCUGCAAGGGUCUUCUCACAAGAUUCAGGGAUGAUGUCAGAGGGCUUCGGAGAUCUUCUUGUGUUAUGGUUGGCUUAAGGUACUCUAUGUGUUCAUGGUCCUUUGUGUUUGCGUUUUUAGUGUGCUUGUAAGGGUCAACUACUUUGUACUGUUUCAUGAUUCGAAUGAAAAAAAAUUCUCGAAAAAAAAAACUCACGGAUUUGUCGUGUGAUAUGCUUAUUUUAUAACCUAUUACAAAAAAGUAGACAUAAAAGUAGGCAAAGGCGGGUCAAAGAAACACCAAAAUAUGGAAAAGUGGGUGGGGCAAACAAGAUGACGAGAAUAUGCCACGAUGCCAAGCGUGACUUAAAAUAUGUAUACUUCCAACGUUAGUAGAAAAAAUCAUAAAAUAUUUAACAAAUGAAGAAAUAGAAUCAACAACUAUUGUUUUAUUGUGGGAGCAAAGUUACGGUUAGCGCUAAACAUAAAAAAAAGAAAGGGCCAAGAACGAAACCUCUGACCAUUCACCGUAGAUUAUUACAUGUAUAUUUUGCGGCCUUUUUUUUCUAUCUGAAAAUAGUGUGUUUUUUUAUUGAUGAACAUGAAGCGCAGCAUCAACUUACUUAUUUGUCCUCUGAUGGGCCUGACUUGUUGAUGAGCGUUGCCCAUGUCUUAAUAUCCCAGUAUAUGAUUCUGUUUUCGGUUAGUCUAAAAAUUUUCUUAUAUUAACCUACAGAGGGAGGACCUCGUUUGGUCAGUGGCACAUAAAUCAUAGCCUUCACGAGUCAGCCUAGUUUUUCAGUUUUGUGGUAUCUGACUAUCCAAAGUUAGUUUCCAGCUCAACUCAAACCAAAAGAAUUUUUUGCUUUGUGACAAUUAAAGUCAGAGUUCAAUUGUUUGGAACAACGCUCCUUGGCAUCAAAUUUGUCAAUUACUAGCACAUGAUUCAGCAUUGUCAGGACUUAAUUCGCCAUGUUUGCCUGCAAGAGUUUUGAACCCUUCUUUAUCCAAUUUAGUACUGCCAUCGUUUAACACUGACAGAGGGUACAGGGGUGAAAAGAUGCAGAAGCUGAGUGUUUGAAGCAACAUUCAGAAGAUUAAUCGAACACCAAAUGUUUCAAAAGCAAUGGCAGGUUACGAACACUGUUGAUCAGUUCCAUGGAUAAACAAGAGAAUAUGAUUGAACGGGUCACAUCUUUAGCCAUUCCACGCAUACUAAAUCACAUGUAAAAUACAGUCCUGACUGGCUUGUUCAUCGAACUAAUGAAUGAGCCACUACAGACUAGCAUUUACAUACAGGAUCCAAUCAACCAAAAGUCUCCUCAUCUUCUCCCUGAUAUGGAACUAAGAGUCAGCUAAGCUAGGGGCGGCUACUCCUUGGCGGCGACCUUCUUCUUGGGGGACUUGGUGGUGGUCUUCUUCUUGGGCGACUUGGCCUCCUUCUCUGCAGCGGCGGGGGACUUCUUGGGGAGCAGCACGGAGUUGAUGUUGGGGAUCACGCCACCGUGCGCGAUGGUGACGCCGGCGAGCAGCCUGCCGAGCUCCUGGUCGUUGCGGACGGCGAGCAGAAGGUGGCGCGGGAUGAUGCGGGUCUUCUUGUUGUCCUUGGCAGCGUUGCCGGCAAGCUCCAGGACCUGAGAUUCAGAAACGAAAACUGUCAGUUAUCCGUCGAGCACGGAAAGAACAGGAGUGCACAAGAAAGGACGGGAAACAUCAGUGCGUACCUCGGCGGCGAGGUACUCGAGGACGGCGGCGAGGUAGACGGGGGCGCCGGAGCCGACGCGCUGCGCGUAGCGGCCCUUCUUGAGGUAGCGCCCGAUGCGGCCGACGGGGAAUUGGAGCCCGGCCUUGACGGAGCGGGUCACCGCCUUCUUCCUGUCGCCUCCCUUCCUUCCAGCCAUCUUGCUUGCUACUUCACCGGCGAAGAGGGCUCUCGAGGUGUGGUGUUUGCGGCGGCGGUGCUGGAUCGGAA
rnacentral:lncRNA from 1 species